AAAAAGGUACUCUACUUUGUUCAUGGUUUGAAGAAAAGCGUUCAAGUUUUUACUUGGUUGGCCUUUGUUCUUCUCACGUGGGUACUGUUAUUCAAUCGAGGCGUCAGGAGGUCGAAGAUUGCCAAUAAGGUUUUGGAUUGCAUAACCUGGACUCUUGUCUCUAUUCUUAUUGGUUCAUUCCUUUGGUUCUUAAAGACUUUAAUGCUGAAGAUAUUAGCAUCAAGUUUCCACGUCACUGCAUUCUUUGAUCGAAUUCAAGAGUCGAUCUUCCAUCACUAUGUUUUGCAAACCUUAUCUGGGCCGCCUCUUAUAGAGGAGGCUGAGAGGGUGGGGAAAGAUCCUAGUGUCCGCGAGUUUAGUUUCAGAACCAUGAAGAAAGGUAAAUUGGGAAAGGAGAAGAAGGUGAUUGAUAUGGGGAAGAUAUAUAGGAUGAAGCAAGAGAAGGUUUCGGCUUGGACGAUGAAGAUGUUGAUUGAUGCAGUGACAAAUUCGGGGCUAUCGACCUUAUCGAAUACAUUGGAUGAAAGUGUUGAUGAUGGAGGAGUUGAGCAAGCGGAUAAGGAGAUAACGAAUGAGAUGGAAGCGAUGGCUGCUGCGUAUCACAUUUUCAGGAACGUCGCUCCGCCGAGCCGCAAGUGAGAAACGAAAGGGUUCAGCAGAUUAACGGAUUGUUUGGUUUGUUUGGUCUUUGGGUAACCAUGGUGUAUUUUCUGCAGGUACUUCGAAGAAGAAGAUCUUGGGAGGUUCAUGAUCAAGGAAGAGGUGGAUCUUAUCUUCCCAUUGCUUGAAGGAGCAGCAACUGGAAAAAUUGACAUAAAAUCUUUGUCAGACUGGGUGGUCAGUGUAUUAACGUUUAAUUCAUUAUAAUUUUUAUCUGUUGCCCUUUUACACGUAAAGAGCAGUUAACAUGCAUCGUCGCUCCGCACUCUGUCUUCAUUCCAGUGACCUGUAUUUUAAUGUGAAUUUUCUGAGAAAUGAAGGGAGAUUUUAACGUGAGAUACAAUUUUUUUACAGGUGAAGGUUUAUCAAGGCCGCAAAGCGCUGGUACAUGCUUUGACAGACACAAAAACAGCAGUAAAGCAAUUGAACAAGCUCGUGACAGGAAUAUUGAUCGUUAUUACCAUCAUCAUAUGGCUUCUUUUGAUGGAAAUUGCUACGACCAAAGUACUAGUCCUGCUUUCGUCACAGCUUGUUGUGGCAGCUUUCAUUUUCGGCAACACAUGCAAGACAAUAUUUGAGGCUAUCAUCUUUGUGUUUGUUAUGCAUCCAUUUGAUGUUGGCGAUCGUUGUGUCAUUGAUGGAGUUCAGGUAACUCUAAAGAGAAACGCCUCCACAACACUUCCACUUUUCUGUUGAGAUGAGUCUGACUUACAGCAAUUCCUAUUUCUCAUGGCAGUUGUUGGUGGAGGAGAUGAAUAUCUUGAACACUGUCUUCUUGAAGCUCGAUAAUGAAAAAAUCUACUAUCCAAAUUCAGUUUUGUCUACGAAACCUAUAAGCAAUUACAACAGAAGCUCAGACAUGGGCGAUAAGGUGGAGUUCUCAAUUGAUAUUAUGACUCCAUUGGAAACAAUUGGAGCAAUGAAAGAGAAGAUAAAAAAGUAAGUUGAUGGAACUGCUACAGUUUCCUUCAUUUCUUAUUGCAAAUGUUGUGGCCCAUAUAGACUUGUUUGGUACAGGACCAUAUGAAAGAUUAUAGCAACUCUUUCUAAUGACUAGCCUUCUUGAUCAGGUACUUGGAGAAAAAUCAGCUACACUGGCGCCCGAACCACAACUUGCUUGUGAGUGAGAUCGAGAACGUGAACAAGAUUAAGAUGGGGCUCUACGUCAAUCACACAAUGAACUUCCAAGAUUACGCAGAGAAGGGCAGACGGAGGACUGAACUAGUCAUGGAGUUAAAAAAGAUUUUCGAUGACUUGAAUAUUAGAUAUAAUCUCCUUCCUCAAGAGGUCCGUCUUUGCCAGAUUGAGGAUAAGAAACAGGCGUGAAGGGCAGGUGAUGACUGCAUUUGGCCGUCGAAUGAAUGCUCUGAAAAUCUGCCAAAGUCAGUGGUUUCGUCCGCUAAAUAAAGGAGGUGACUAGGUCUUUUGAUAAAUUGGGCUACCUCAUUGUUCUUUUCACAUGGCGAUGGAGCAAGGCCUACAGAAGACAGUUGCAUCACCUCGGGCAUGUCAAGACAAUCAAAAGACCCAAUUACUGAUGCACGAUAAUCGUGUAUUGCAAAGCAUACCUUAAUCUUGUUCUGUCUUUUGGAUGUUAUGCGACACGUUUUUUAUAUUGUGGCUUGGCGACUCUGUCCCAGUUGUUAUUUGAAACAUGAGGCUAUGAAUGAUGUUAGUGAAUGUAAUCACCUUACCUGGAGUAUGAGUUAUUUGCUCAGCCAAAUACGAGUGAUCAUAAGUAUGUCUCUUGCACAUGAAUGUGUGCUCAAAUGUGCCUUGUGUGCGUGCAUGUAUUGGUGAGGUUCAGGCCGAAGACCAGAGGUUUGUCUGCGCGGUUGCAUUAGUGCAGGUGCAUGAGUAUGAUAGAAAUUGGUGGUUAUGAUGUUGGGCUGCAUUGUCAAAUGAUCAUAGGCAUUGUGCCGAUCCAGUAGUUUGACUGCAGUGUGCGCAGCGCGUGUUGACUCUUUAAAUCUGUGAAUUUCCAAGCUCUCAUCUGUGCAGAAUCCAAUCAAUCUCAUUUAUGCAAUAUCAAUCGGGAUAAGCUCGUUUCAAACAGGCAGGGGAAGAGGAUGGAGAGAACCCAGGAUUACCUCUGAUACUGCCUCCAGAUAGCCAACGACAACGGCUUUCCCCAGCUAUAAUUGUCUACCACAAGCGCGAUUAUGACGAACACAGCAACAAUGACAAUAACAGUAAUGCUAGUAAUAACAAUAACAUUAGUAAUAAUAAUAAAAACCAACGAGAAGAGGUCCUUUCCUCUUCUCAACUCUACGAUGACAAUGUCAGUCCUGCGUUCCGCUAGAACAUUGGUGCAAUCUUACUAUGAUAUUUCAAUCGUGGUUGAUCAAGCCAGGAUCAACGGUUGGUACAGCAAGCCACAUGAGGUGAGCUCUCUCAUUGAAUUAGGGUCAAUCGCAAGUUUAGUGAACAUUGCUUUGGUCACAAGCAUACGGGGCAGACAAAAUAGUGAAUUUGCUGAUCGAUUUGAAUCAACUCGUUUGGUGUGUAUUCGCGGUGAGAAAGAUCCCUAAUCAUGUAGCUGAAUUCGGAUGUUAUAUUGAACUGUCGUUAUAACCUCCGCCGCAGAUCGAGCUACGAGAGAAAAUAGCCCGAGGGACCACCGUGGAGAUAUACAGGGCCUUGUGGCGGGGCCUCGACAUGACUGUCAAGGGCAUCUUCCCAAAAUUCUUCCACACGAACCAGAGCGGCACCACGUUCUUCACGCAGGAGCUCGAGGCCCUGCCGCAGCCGCGGCACCGUUUCGUGCUGCAGCUGAUGGGCGCAUGCAUCGACCCGCCCGAGUGCACGUGGAUAGUGACCCGAGUUCCUGGGCUCAACGCUGAAGGAAUGGCUCCACGGGCCUGGGAACCACAAGAUGGGUGAGAGGGCGAAGCCGAUGCCUCCGUUCGGGAAGCGGUUGAGCGUGACGUUGGAGAUAGCUCACGAGCAGAAGCCCAGGGUGAUCCACAUAGAGUUGAAGCCUAGCAACACCUUCUUGGAUGAUGCGAUGAAUGUUGGGACGAUUAUUACACUAUCCUUUUCCUCAAUUACUCACAAUUUGAGAGUAAUUGAGCUGACGCUUACAGAAAAUGUUUAGAUUUUAGAGAGGGAUCAAUGCAAAUUGCAGUUCUCCGAGCGUGGCAGUCAUAUGAAAAAUUGCGUAGUGGAACGUUUUUGAGUUAUGUGCAAGAUGGAUGGAUAGUUUGUUACUUUACGUACUUCCUAGCUUUGUUAACAUUACAAUUUAGACAUCAUUAGUAUGCUUAGCAAAGAAAAGAGGAGGUGAUUUUGAGUAGACGGGAGUUUCUUUAACAAAAUUAAUUGAUCCGAUUUUGAGCAUUCACGCCUAUUGAAAAUUGUCAAUGAUGUGCUAGUGUUAGGGAUGUGAACAACCGAACUGAAAAUGUUUGGUCUUUGCAGUUCAAUUCUUGUUCAGUUUUUAAGUAAUAUGACAGAAAACGAAGAAACGAGAGAAAAUUUUCUUUGUAUUCAUUGAUUUGUAUACAAGCACAUUAGUACAUUUAUAGUGCAAGAAUGGAAGAGAAUAAAAGGAAACAAUAUAUGUAAAUUUUCUAUUUACCAAAACUUCCUAUUCACUAAAUCAAUCAAUCUAUAAAUAGAAUAUAUCACAAUCUCCAACAUUCCCCCUCAAGCUGAUGGCCUAUAUAUGUCGAGGACACCCAGCUUGCUCAGAAGAUAACUAUGUUGUCUCUAAUGGCUUAGUCAAGAUGUCUGCAGGUUGAUCCAUCAUUCCAAUGCCCUUUGCUACAAGGAUUCCUUCUUUGAUCUUAUCUCGCGUGAAGUGACAAUCAACCUCUAUAUGUUUUGUCCUUUCAUGAAAAACUAGAUUUGCUGCCAAUUUGAGUGCAGCAUCGUUGUCACAAAAUAAUUCAGUUGGUCCACUCACCUUUAACCCGAGAUCUGAAAGUAAUUCUUGAAUCCAAACCACUUCGCAAGUUGUCAUUGCCAUUGCUCGAUACUCUGAUUCAGCCGAUGAUAAAGAGACAGUCAAUUGCUUCUUUGUCUUCCAUGAGAUUAGUGACUUGCCCAACUUGAUGCAAAAACCAAUAAUUGAUCUUCUGGUCAUUGGACAAGUAGCAUAAUCUGUAUCACAGAAUGCUGUCAUCUUCAUGUUGCAGUCACAGGAUAAGAAAAUUCCAAGUCCUGGACAUCCCUUCAAGUAUUUCACAACCUUUAGGGUUGCAUUCAUAUGAGAUUGUUUUGGACUAUGUAUGAAUUGACUAGGUAUCUGCACUGCAUAACAUAUAUUCGGUCCUGUCAUAGUAAGAUAUAUCAGUUUACCAACAAGUCGCUGAUAUGCUGACGGAUCUUUGAGGAGUAGGUCCUCAGUAGAUGAAGAAGAAUUCAGAUCAUAUUCAUGAGUAGUCAAUUUGGCAUUCUGCUCAGCUGAUACGAUUGCUGGUUUGCAUAUGGACAAUCCAGCUUCGGAAACAAUUUCAAGGAUGAAUUUCCUCUAACUGAGAUUGAUACCUUUGUCGGAUUGAGCAAUUUCAAUUCUAAGAAAAUAUUUGGGCAAUCCCAAAUCCUUAAUAUGGAAAGUAGAAUGCAAAUACUUUUUUAAAUCUUGUAGCAUGAGAUUUAUUGUUUCCCAUAACAAAUAUAUCAUCAACAUAUAUCAGCAGAUAGAUGAAUGAAUUACCUUUACUCCAUGUAAACAGGGCAUAAUCAUGCUUAGAAUGCCGAAAUCCCGCAUUAGUCAAUGUAGUAGUGAGCUUGGCAUAUCAUUGUCUAAAUGUCUGCUUCAGUCCGUACAGGGAUUUGCGUAGACGACAUACCCGAGACUCCCCCUGUCUACGUAAUCCCUAUGGAAGCUCCAUAUAGAUCUCUUCAUCGAGAUCGCCAUGAAGGAAGGCAUUGUUAACAUCCAUAUGAUGUAAAGACCAAUUUCUAAUGGCUGCAAUGGAUAAGAAGGAACAAACGGUGACCUCUUUGGCAACAGGUGAAAAAGUUUCAUGAUAAUCGAAGCCUUCUCUCUGAGUGAAUCCUUUAGCCACUAGCCGAGCUUUAUAUCUUUCAACUGAACCAUCUGCCCGAAACUUGAUUUUAUAAACCCAUUUACAUCCGAUGGGCUUUCGGUGUAGAGGAAGUGGAACAAUGUCCCAAGUAUGAUUUUCGAUCAAGGCAGUAAGUUCUAAUUCCAUCGUGUGUUGCCAUCUUGGAUCACGAGAUGCUUCGUGGAAAGAAGAAGGUUCGUUUUCCUUCGAGAGACGGCUGACGCAGCACAUAUGUUCCGGUGAUAGUCUAUUAAAAGACACAUAUGAAGAGACAUGAUACUUUGUAGCUGGAGAAUGUGAUGCAGAACAAAUGUAGUCCUUAGUCCACGUGGGUGGACGAGUUUGCCGUCCAGUACGUCGAGGCUGCUCAGCCACUAUUGGUUCAGGUGCUAAGGAAGAUUCAGAAGUAGUCUCUGAUGGAGCUGAGGCAGAAGGAGGAUCCUUAGAGAACUCUGAAGGUAAGUCUUCUCUAGAAAAAGUGGUAUUCCUUGGAACAAGAAUGGAUGGUUCCGGAGCAACGAAUAGAUAUUGAGAAGCCAUAGAUAAAUCUUCUUCAGAUAGAAAAGGCCUAUGAUUUGGAGAUGAUGACGUAGAGGACAAAGAUAUCAUAUCCUUAAAAGAAAAGAUGUCCUUGUGAAAUAUAACAUCCCUACUGACAAAGAAAUGUCCAGUAGAAAUUUCCAUAACUCGAUAACCUUUCUGAAGAGAUGGGUAUCCCAUGAAUAUGCAUUGUGUGACACGAGGGGCCAUCUUAUCCAAAGAGCCAACAUUUGUCGCAUAACACAAACAACCAAAUACUCGAAGAUGAUCAUUGCGAGGCUGUCUAUUAUAAAACAGUUCAAAAGGAGUUUUCUCAUCCAAAAUACGAGUUGGCAUGCGAUUAAUCAAAUAGGCAGCAGUGACCACACAAUCUCCCCAAAAACCUUUAGGAAUAGAGGCUUGAUAUUUUAAUGCACGUGCUACUUCUAAGAGAUGCCUGUGCUUACGCUCUACAAUUCCAUUUUGUUGUGGUGUGUAAGUACAAGAACUCUCAUGAAGUAUCCCUUGAGAAGAUAGGAAUUUUGUGCAAUCAGAAGUGAAAAAUUCACGCCCAUUAUCUGUACGAAUUCGUUGCACAGAUUGAUUGAAUUGAUUUUUAACCAGGGAAACAAAGUUCGAAAGAUGAGUAAAUGUUUGACUCUUUGAUUGCAUAAGAUAUAUCCAAGUGCCCCUCGUAUAAUCAUCUACAAUCGUCAGGAAAAAACAGGAGCUAUCACGAUGAGAAGUGUGAUAAGGUCCCCAGAUGUCCAUAUGAAGUAAAGAAAAUUUCUGGUCCGCUCGAGACGUACUCUUUGGAAAGGAUGCUCGGGAUUGUUUGGUCAAGGGACAUAUGGGACAUUGAGAAUGAGGAAAACAUGCACUAUGACCCAAUUUUUGAUGAAAAAUAAUAUUUUUAUUUCAACUAAUAGCAUUACAAGAGAUGUCUUUAUUUAGUAAUUCCAUAUCUCUUGGAGAAUCAAUCCAGUAGUAUAGUCCGUCUGCAAUACUACCCAAGCCUAUCAGCUUGCCAGUCGAACGGUCUUGAAAGAAACAAUUGUUGGAACUAAAUAUUGUAUGAAAGGAACUAUCUAUGCAAACUUUUGAGACAGAGAGUAUGUUGAAUUCAAAUUCAGGAACGUAGAGGACAUUUCUAAAGACAAAAUGGGGCCCAAGAUGAACAGUGCCAGUCUUGGUAACUUGAGUGACAUUUCCAUUUUGAAGACGUACUGAUAUAGGAAAUUUUGAUUUUCUAUCGACAUGGGAAAAAAGGUGCUCAUGACAAAUUAUGUGAUCACUAGCCCCUGUAUCGAUUAUCCAUGCAUUCAUAGAAAAGGAAUUCUCCUUGUAAAGAAAAGUACCUGAGAAUCCUGCACUUUUGUCACUCAUCUGCAAUUGAUUCAGAAUCUGCAGGAUAUUCUGAUACUGAUCUUGAGUAAUUGUCUGAUGUACCCCAUCAUUCCUUUGUGUCAAGACCUAAUAAGUUGACGAUUCUUUUUCUUUUCUAUUUUUAUCAGUAGGCUUUCCAUGCAAUUUCCAACAUGCAUCAACAAUAUGAUGUGGGCGUUUGCAAUAUUCACAAUAUUUAUUUUUGAAUUUAUUAUUUUGCCCACUAACCUUUCCUGAUGUGGUGCCUUAUAAACUGGAGAUGACGUGGCGUGAUAAUGGCCCUCGGAUCGAUCCGGAUUGAUGGACGAUCUGUAGCUGUCCGUUGCAGCACGUCAAUCUACACUGUCAAUUGUCUUGCGUUGAUAUGAACCGUCCAAGAUGCCGCGUGAAUCCAAGCCGUUAGAUCGUCCGCGUGAAUACCCACUUUUGGGUAUCCCAGGUGCACAACUGAUCCGCUACCUCUAGCUGCCGCCUCACGUGAACCCAUGCUAGACGAAAAAGCCGCAAGACCAAGGCCUUCUCCGACUCGAGCGUGUCCGGCCGUGGCGAGGCGCUAACUUUCCUCCUGGACAGCGAGCCGGUAGAUGCGUUCGAGCGGCGACGAAGGUUCCAUCGCGAGGAUUUGAGAUCGGAAGGCCGAAUAAUCCUCGUUGAGAAUGAGUAAGAACCGUGUGGUCUUUUCUCGUUCUCGAAUUUCUUUGUAUUAUCUCAGAGUUUCCUUGGGUCCCUGUAGGUGCUCUUCGGACGAUUGCAACUCAUUCCACAGAGAUGAGAGACGGUUGAAGCAAGUGGUAACCGAGAGGUUCCCUUGCUUCAACUCAGUCAAGCCUGGGUGAUGCUGAAGAGCCAUGCGUGAUCAAGCCGGCCAUACAUCUCCCCGAUGUUCUCCCAGAUUUGUUUGGAGUCUUCAGUAGGUGGUAAUCCAGCCGCGACAUCGGGAGCGAGUGUGUUGCCGAUCCAAGUGCGAACCAACUGGUUGCACUUCCGCCAGUGUCGCCGGAGACGCUUGUCGGUCGGGAAUGGGACGGCUCUGUUGAGGAAGCCGUCCGUGUCUUUCGUCACUAGAGCACGCCAGAAAUCUCAAGCCCACGAGGAGUAGCUUUCCGGUCCGGUGAGUUGGAUGCUGAUGAGACGCAAUUCGGGGCCGUCUGCUGGCGACAUGUAGAAGGGGUCGCCGGGCUCAAGCCGGCCGCCACCGCCAACCGGAAAGAACAUCGGCAUGUAUCCGAGUUGGAAUGCCGGGUAGGGAUUCAUCCCUUGACCCGGCAUAGGUCUGGGUCCUUGACCCGGAUUCGUGUGGCCCAACUCUUCUGAUGGGCCAGCUAUGAAAGGUGUGGAUCCAGAUGGAUAUUGGGCCCAUGUCUGUCCUGGCCCACUACCCCAUUGAUACCAAUUAGGAGGCCACUGGACUGGACCGGAAAUUGGGCCGGGAAUUGGACCCAAUGGAGGAACGGAUUUGGCUGGAUCUUAAGUUUCUUCUUGCUGAACAGAGGACCGCUCCUUGCUGGAAAGGAUGGUCGGAUCUGAGGAGGGCGUCUCCUCUGUGGAGGAGCUCUCGAUGUUUUUGUUCUUUGUCAUGGUAAAAAAAAAGGAAUUCCUCGAUUUGCUGGUCUAUUUUGCAGGGUAAGAUCGUGCAACAAUCAGGCCAGAAAAAAAAUGAAGGCGAUUUCUAAAUAUGCGGAAGCUAGAUCAGGAACAGAAGAGCUCUGACACCAUGACAGAAAACGAAGAAACGGGAGAAAAUUUUCUUUGUAUUCAUUGAUUUGUAUACAAGCACAUUAGUACAUUUAUAGUGCAAGAAUGGAAGAGAAUAAAAGGAAACAGUAUAUGUAAAUUUCCUAUUUACUAAAACUUCCUAUUCACUAAAUCAAUCAAUCUACAAACAGAAUAUAUCACAAUCUCCAACAUAAUAAGUAAAGGACCUUGGGUAGUUUGCCGGUUCAAUUCCGUUCCAUUCGGGUUUUCGUUUUUCGUAUUUCUUUCAAAGCUGAAGAUCUAAACAUGAAGGGAUUUGCGUCUCAACCAUCAAGUAUAUUCUGAAUUCAAGUCGUUCCAUUCAUGAAAAUUCAGUACGCUCGAUUGGGAAAGAGCUGCAGGCAUCGAAGCUCAUGGUCACGGGCUUUAUGCUGUGCUCUGUAAUUUAACCGUAUUCCUAUCUUUUUAACUCUACUCCUAUCUGACAAAAUUGCUGAUACGUACGUUCUGUUUUCAUUUUAGACAUGAAAUGCUCAAUGAAAAAACCUUAUGUUCAUUCACGAGAUAUUCACGUGAUAUGUUUCAAUCUUUAGUUCAUAUUUUGUUUUACCGAUAGUUCCAAAAAAAAAAAGAAAAAAAGAAAGGGUUUGCAUUAAACCAGCGAUCUCAUCUUUUUGGCAGGAUUUUGGGCAUGUCUAGUCAAGUGGAAAAAUAUUGUUAAUGAGACAAUUACCUUUAUAAUAUAUGAUAGCAGGCCACAUAAAUGAUGAACUCACGAUUGCUUUACUAAACUUUACCUUGCGAGAAGAGCAAAAAGGAGAAGAAGAGGAAAAUCGAAAAUCUGAACCUAAUUGGGUCAUAUUUGGUUCGGUUCAAUUUUUUUGGAAACUUGAACCGAACUGUUGACAUUCAUAACAAGUUUGUACGAUCAAUUAUAGGAAAAUCACCAUAAGUCUUAUUGAAGAAAUUUAAUAUAGCAUAAAAAUAUUUCAGUCUUUGUAAUUAAGACCUCAAAGUCUAUGAAACAAGUGCAAUCAAGGUCUUCCUUACAAAAGUUUCCUGAUUUUUCCUAGGGCAUCUUAUUUGGGUGCCAUUUGAACUAUUUUCCAACGUGGUGCUAGUAUUCGCCAUAAGGACUUAAUUGACUUCUUUUUCGAAAGGUUGAAGAAUUAAUCUUAACCAUUUAAAAGGCUUAAAUAGCACUAGGAAAGCAAACAUACUACUACAUUCGAUGCACUUUUUCUGUCGAUUAUCUGUCCUCCAAUUCCUUUUUCUCACUGAUGAAGAGAUUUGGCUACCUAAAGAUCCACAGAAUAUGCUACAAGUCAUGGACCGGUAAGCAGUUAUGUCAGAUCUUUGAACUGUGCAAGAGGAGUUUGCAUGUAAUUGGUGGAAAAUCAAGCAGAUUGCAUUCAUUUUUCUGAUUUUUCUUUUUUUAAAUUAACGUUCUAUAUAACUACGCCAACCAUGAAGAUUCAUACUUUCGUGAGAAAAUGAUAUGCUAAUGUAGAAGUAUUCUGCUAUUCAUUAUUAAUUUUUCCUUAAAAUUGCUUUCGUUUUUUCACUCUUAGCAAUAUGUUUUUUUAUUUGGUCGGAUACUCUUAGCAAUAUUGAAGAUAAGCGAAGUGUCAAUACCAAAUAGAGGAAGGCAUGAUAUCGAGAAGGCUCUACUCAAAUAAAGUGAAGUCAUACUCACCAUGCAAACUAAAGAUCAUGUCAGGCUGCAUCAUCAAAUGAUCAUAGGCAUUGUGCCGAUCCAGUAGUUUGGUUGCAGUGUGCGCAAGGCACGAUGACUCUUUGUAAAUUUGUGAAGGUCCAAGCUCUCAUCUAUGCGAAAUAUUCAGCCAAUCGGGAUAAGCUCGUUUCAAAUACAUUGAGUAUCCCGCCCAAGCUCGAUAAGGGGAAAGAAAAACAUUGAAUAUGCCAAGGAAGAUCCCCAAAAUCCAGAAAGGUACUAACCUCAAUAGUAAUGACAACAAGGCUUCGUAUGACAGGGGUAUGCAAAGAAAAGAAUCGUGUUUCUUUUUCUCGGUGUAAUUUAGAAGUUCGAAGGUUUCGAACAAUCUUCUUCUCCUUUUAAAAUCCAAGUUUGCUAGCGCAAGCCUCGACAGUGGAUCGCAUAAUCCUUUUGCUCAAUAUGUAAGCGAACUAUCAUUUUGAAAUUGUGACACCAGCAAGGACAAAUGCUACUUUCGGGAGGACUCUUCAUUAUUUUAGAGAACUGAAACAUCUUCCUGCCAUAUGAUGUAAAGUAAUAAUCUCCACCAAAAUUUGAUAUAUUUAUAAUGAGGAUGACAUUACCCUAUUUAUAGGCUUUAGGAGAUGACUAUUGAAGGUGCAUAUCGAUCAAGGAUGUGCAUUAUCAAAUGAGAUAUAUGAGAGAUGUUCAUAAUCAAGUAUAUCUCCUUAUAUCGCUAACAGAAAUGUUGCCCGCCAUUUGGCCAAGUGAAAAAUUGUUCAAAAAAGUGUUAAACCUAUUGUACAAUAGCAACUUUGGUUUUGAACUUUCUAAUUAUGCUAAUUUAAUCCUAAACUCUUUGAUGAUUUGUCAAUACCAGUAUUCCGAUCAAUUUUGGCUAGAGAUUGAUGACGUAGACGUCGGGCAUUUUGAGUGCAUUUAGUUCAGCAUUCCAAGGGACUUUUGGCCUCCGAAGUCCCUUGAGAAAAUGUUGGAUCUUUUGGCAAUUAUUUUGAAAAAAAAUUUAAGUGAAAGCUAGCAUUAAGAAGGCUGGAAGCCCAAAAUUAGUAGGGAUUAGUAUUGAGUCUUCAACAUUUGGCCAAAUGCAAAAACUUAUUUUUCUCUUCCAAAACUAUCCUCACCAAUUUUUCAAAUUUCCAAAUUUAUCCCUCAUUGUUUUUUUAUUUUUAUUUUUAUCUAUUAUUAUUAAAGAAAGCUUCAUCGCCUCGGGCAUGUCAAGACAAUCAAAAGACCCAAUUACUGAUGCACGAUAAUUGUGUAUUGCAAAGCAUACCUUAAUCUUGUUCUGUCUUUUGGAUGUUAUGGGACGCCUUUUUUAUAUUGUGGCUUGGCGACUCUGUCCCAGUUGUUUUUUAAACAUGGGGCUAUGAAUGAUGUUAGUGAAUGUAAUCUACCUUACCUUGAGUAUGAGUUAUUUGCUCAGCCAAAUACGUGUGAUCAUACGUAUUUCUCCUGCACAUGAAUGUGUGCUCAAAUGUGCCUUUGUGCGGGCAUGUAUUGGUGAGGUUCCGGCUGAAGACCAGAGGUUUGUCCGCGCGGUUGCAUUAGUGCAGGUGCAUGAGUAUGAUAGAAAUUGGUGGUUAUGAUGUUAGGCUGCAUUGUCAAAUGAUAAUAGGCAUUGUGCCGAUCCAGUAGUCUGACUGCAGUGUGCGCAGCGCGUGAUGACUCUUUAAAUCUGUGAAUUUCCAAGCUCUCAUCUGUGCAGUAUCCAAUAAUCUCAUUUAUGCAAUAUCAAUCGGGAUAAGAUCGUUUCAAACAGCUAGGGGAAGAGAAUGGAGAGAGCCAAGGAUUACGUCUGAUACUGCCUUUAGAUAGCCAAAGACAGUGGCUUUUCUUCAGCUAUAGUUGUGUACCCACAAGCGCGAUUAUGACGAACACAGCAACAAUGACAACAACAGUAAUGCUAGUGAUAACAAUAACAUUGGUAAUAAUAAUAAAAACCAACGAGAAGAGGUCGUUCUCUCUCCUCAACUCUACGAUGGCAAUGUCAGUCCUCCGUUCGCUGGAACAUUGAUGCAACCUUACUCUGAUAUUUCAAUCGUGGUUGAUCAGGCCAGGAUCAAUGAUAUAUUGAGCCACAUGAGGUGAGUUCUCUCAUUGAACUAUGGUCAAUCAUAAGUUUAGUGGACAUGAUUUUGGUUACAGAGUGAACUUGCCAAUCGAAUUAAAUCGAAUUGAAUCGAAUCGAUAUGAUUUGUGUGUAAUUCGGACGUUAUAUUGAUAUAUUGUUGUAACCUCGGCCCUAGAUCAAGCUGCGAGAGAAAAUAGACCGAGGGACCACCGCGGAGAUAUAUAGGGCUGCGUGGCGGGGCUCCGACGUGGCGGUCAAGUGCAUCUUGCCCGACUUCUUCCGCACGAACCAAAAUGGUGUUGCCUUCCCCACGUAGGAGGUCGAGACCCUGUCACUGCACCGGCACUGGCACCGGUUCGUGCUGCAGCUGAUGGGCGCGUGGAUGGUGAUCAAGCUCCUGGGAUUCACGCUGAAAGAAUGGCUCCACGGGCCGGGGAACCAGAGGAUGGGUGAGAUGGCGAAGCCCUCCGUUCGGGGGGUGGUUGAGCCUGGCUUUGGAGAUAGCCCAAGCAACAUCUUCUUGGACGGUGCGACGAAUGUUGGGAUGUAAUUUAAACUCCCCAUCGACAAUUGCAUUGUCCUUUCCCUCAAUUACUCACAAUUUGAGAGUAACUAAGCUGAUGGUUACUGAAAAUGUUUAGAUUUUAGAGAGGGAUUAAUGCAAAUUGCGAUUCUCCGAGUGUGUUUGGCAUAUGAAAAAUUGCUUGGUGGAGCGUUUUUGAGUUAUAUGUAAGAUGGAUGGUACUUUAUUGUUUACGCAUCUCCUAGGAUUGUCAACAUUGCAAUUUGGACAUCAUUAGUAUGCUUAACAAAGAAAAAAGGAGGUGCUUUUGAGUAGACACGAGUUUUUUUUCAACGAAAUUAAUUGAUAUGAUUUUAAGCAUUCGCUCUCAUUGAAAAUUAUCAAUGACAUGCUAGUAGUAAGGGAUGUCAAAAUCGAACCAAAAGUUUUAAUUUUUUGAUUCGGGUCUUAUUCGAUUUUUGACACCUCUAUCAUUGGGUAGACCUUCAUUUUUGCUACUGCUUACAUUAUUUUCAUUUUAGACAUGAAAAGCUCAAUGAAGAAACCUUAUGUUAAUUCACGAGAUAUGUUUCAUCCUUAGUUCGUAAAACAUUACUUUGUUUUCCCGAAAGUUUCCCAAUAUAUAUAUAUAUAUAUAUAUAUAUAUAUAUAUAUAUAUAUAUAUAUAUGCCGUGAUCAGUGGAAUNNNNNNNNNNNNNNNNNNNNNNNNNNNNNNNNNNNNNNNNNNNNNNNNNNNNNNNNNNNNNNNNNNNNNNNNNNNNNNNNNNNNNNNNNNNNNNNNNNNNAGCACUUUGGGCAUGUCUUGUCAAGUUGAAAAACAUUGUGAAUGAGACAAUUACUUUUAUAAUAUAUGAUAGUUGGCCACAGAAUGAUAGAAAUGAUGAACCCACGAUUGCUUUACUAAACUUUACCUUGCGAGACAGGAAAAAAGAAGGAGAGGGAAACUGAAAAUCCAAACCGAAUCAGGUCAUAUUGGAUUCGGUUCGAUUUUCUUGAAAAUCCCAAACUGAGCCGUUGACAUUCAUAGCUAGUGUUUACAAUCAAUUAUAUGAAAAUCGCCAUAAGUCUUAUUGGAGAAAUUCCAUAUAGCACAAUUUUUUUUUCGAUGCUUGUAAUUAAGACCUUGAAGUUUUUGAAACAAGUGCAAUUAAGUUCUUCCUUACUAAAGUUUCCUGAUUUUUCCUAUGGCAUCUUACUUGGGUACCAUUUGGACUAUUUCCCGCGUGGUGCUAGUGUUCGCCAUAGGGACUUAAUUGACUUCUUUUUCAGAAGGUCCCAUUUGAAAGGCUUAAAUUGCACUAUGAAAACAAAUAAACUACUACAUUUGAUGCACUUUUCCCGUCGAUUAUCUGUCCUCCAAUUCCAUUUUCUCACCGAUGAAGAGAUUUGGCUACUUGAAUAUCCACGGAAUGUUCAGAUCAUUGACCUGUGCAAUUGGGUCCGGCUCUAGGGGAGUUUGCAUGUAAUUGGUGGAAAAUCAAACAGGUUGCAUUAAUUUUCUGAAUUAAAAAAAUUAACGUUUUAAAUAACUACGCCAACCAUGAUGAUUCAUACUUUCGUGAGAAAAUGAUAUGCUAAUGUAGAAGCAUUCCGCUAUUCAUUAUUAAUUUUAUCUUAAAUUUGCUUUCAUUUUUUUAACUCUUAGCAAUACUUUUUCUUUGGUCGGAUACUCUUAACAAUAUUGAAGAUAAGCAAAGUGUCAAUAUUAAAUACAAGAAGGCAUGAUAUCGAGAAGGCUCUACAUAAAUAAAGUGAAGUUAUACUCACCAUGCAAACUAAAGAGGCAAUGGAUCAUGGGCAGGCCGAGGUGACAUUAGGCUUCACCUCUCGACCUCUCCUUUUCGAGUCCCCUUAAUGCACAGCACCAAAUGUGAUGCCGUUUUGCUGCUAGUCAAGACGUCGUCCACCAUCUCUGGCCGAGGAAAAAUUAUUCAAAAAAGCCCGAAAUUUAUUGUACACGACCAAUUCAAUUCUAAAAUUUUCAAUUAUGUUUAUUUAAUUCUAAACAUUUUAACGAUCUACCAAUAAUCAUUUUGAUCAAUUUUGGCUAGAUAAUUGACAAUGUGGAUGUCGGUUGUCUUUUGUGGCAUGGUCGACAUUAACAUAAAUAAUUUUCACAAUUUUUUUAAAUUUUUCUUGGGCUGGUCCUUAAUAGUAUGAAAAAUAGAAAAAUUAAGAAAAUUAAGAAAAAUAAAUGAAUAAAUGUCAAGUUGGUGUGAGGCUAUGCUAUGUAGAACAAUUGGCAUUCACAUUAAUAAUUUAUAGCCAAAUUAGCUAGAAGGACUAUAUUGGCAAAUUGUCGAAAGGUUUAAAAUUAAUUUGAUGCAAUUAAAAGAUUCAAAAUUAAAUUAGUUGAUAUCCAAUAAGUUUAUGAUUUUAUGGACAAUUUUCCCUCGAGCCAACCACAUAACAUUUGUGUCCAUAUCAAUAGAGUAAACUCAAUCAAGUAAUUAUCGAGUGCACUUCAUAUAUCUCUCGUUGCAAGUUCACACUGAAACGUUCUCCCAAAAGAAGUCAUCGAGAAUGUUAUGCAAGAUAGUCGUUCGUCAUUUCAUUGAUCACAAAUCCUCACGAGUCUCGCCAUAUUCACCUAUUAAUUAGAUUGACAAGAUACACAAUCCUCUUCUGAGAAUUGAUGAGACAACUCCCAACUGUUUUAAAAGCUUAACUGUUAGAUUAAUGCGUGGUUUAAUAUUUUAUUAUUUUAUCAACCUUCAUGCUUAGUCUGGUAUUUUUGUCUAGUAUUAAGUGUGGAUAUAUUUAAUUGAUGAGAUAAUUGGACCUGAAAAGAUUUGAACUCAAGAUCUCCAAUUCCGAUACUAUGUGAGAUUUUGUGGGAUCACUACAAACUGUUCUAAAAUGUCAAGCUAUUAGAUAUAUGUGUGAUUUAAUAUUUAAUUAUUCUAUUACAUCUUAUCUAAAACUUAUUCGAAAUGACUAUCAUCAAAGCUUAUAAAAGAUCUCUUUUUCCUGGUCGGGUUCUCUAAUGAUCACAUGCUCCUUUAUGAGAUGUGGAUAGGACUAGUCGAAAGAAUUACCUGUGAUUGUGACCCCACAAAAUUUGCUAAGAAGCAAGACAUUCACCUAAGGGGGUGCUUAGUUGACGAUACAAUUUGCUCAAUUUCUAAAUUGAGAUUGAAUAACAGUUCUGAUUAAUUAAAUAGCCAUUUACGAGUUAAAUGAAGGUAAUAUACGAAAUGUGAGUAAUCAAGUAUAUUUAUCUUGCAAGUCAUCGAUCAAUUUCAAGCCCGCUCUAGUGGAACUAAGCAUGAUUUAUGAAUUUACAAAUGACGAUCGAAUCACUCAACUUAGUUUAUCCUUACUGAAUAUCCAACAGUUUCAAGGUCAGACUUAGAAAGUUGUUCUCAUUGGCCAAAGAAGGAAGGAAAGUCUCAUAGAGUACAUUAUGUUCAUAGGAGAAAAUAUUCAGUGGUUAGCAACUACCAUGUCAUCGAUUGACCUGGCGUGUAUGCUCUACUGAAAAAGCGACAUAUGUCCGGUGACCUGGAAUAUGUAGGAAUUGAAAAAUUAAAACCGAAAGGGCUCGGACGCUCUUUUCUCUCUCCUAAGCCACUGAUACAAGGAAUGAUAAAUGCAUUGUCCCCGCUCAAAACCCUCUCUCUCAUCUUUUCAAUUUUUCAAGCUAUGGCUUCAUCACUAGCUCUCUCUCUCUCUCUCUCUUCUCUCUCUCUCUCUCUCUCUUCUUUCUCUCUCUCUCUCUCUCUCUCUCUCUCUCUCUCUCUCUCUCCUCUGUUCAAAGAAAAUGUUUAUUGACAAGAAGACGACAUUUUUCUUCGUCCAUCUUCUCCAGAAAAUCAAACGUUGUAGCAAUUUCCGUUAACGCAAAUCAAGCAACAGGCGUAGCCUCGGAUGACCAGCACCUGGAGAGUGGGAGAUUAUUCGCAGUCUCCAAAAAGAAUUUGGUUGGAAGCAUUAGGUUGCUGACUUGAGCUGUCAAAGCCGGAAUGAAAAAAUGGUAAUGAACUUGUGAAAAGUUUUGUUCUGAAAGAGAUUUUGGGAAUGGGAAGGCUCGAUUCUCGAAAUAUUUUCUUUUGAAGUGAAGCUAAGAUGCCAAGAAGGUGACUACAAAGAAUUUUCCUAAGAAAUGGUGCUAGACAAGGCCAACUGACAAAGAUGUUCUUCCUAUUUCCAGAUCCUCAUUUUAAAGAGAAAAAUCACUGUCGUAGGGUGAUUAGCCCUCACUUGCUAGGCGAGUAUGCAUAUACUCUGGCUAUUGGGGGCAUAAAUUACACCAUUACAGAUGUUGAAGAAUUGGGUAAAUGGAUGAAGGACUGUUUGGAAAACCAUCCCAUGUUUGAAGCACUGACGGAUGAAGAACUCGUGAACGAUCCGGUGGUGAAGCUAUUGACCAGCGUGACCGAGGAAGGCCAAAAUGUUGCCAGGAAUGGUGGGCAGACAUUUCAAGCAAUAUGCAGAUGCAUUGCCCCAUCUCUAUGAUAGAAAUCAACGAAUGGCUCCAUGUGUUUUGGGACCACUUAGGUGAACUUUCAUGCAUUUUUUGGGAUCCUUUGAAAGGUAGAGAUAUUUUUUAUGAUGCAAAAGAGAAAUUGCAUACCUGCUUCUUCAUUACUUAUCAUGCCUUCCUUUUUUUGGUCUCUCGCCAUUCUUUACUUUAUUUUUUUGGCCAACUAUAUAUACACAUUAUUAUUGCAUUUAAGCUUUGCCACAUUGAGAAUUCCAUCAAGCGGAAAUUUUUUAGCAGCAACAGAGCUCUAGUAUCAAGACUUGGUAGGGACAGCCUAAUUAGCCAAUCUAAUUGGAUCUACAAAUGUACAUUAAUAACAAAAUGCCACCAGCGAUCGUAAAAUGUUGUUCUUUUCAACGUGCUCCGAGACGUUCAAUUAUUCAUGCUCUUAGAGCAUCAAUGAUUAGAGUUUGCUAUUGUAAUGUCAAAAGGCCAAUCAUAUAUGGUCUAAGAUAGAGGUGACGAAGAAGGAACUGUUCUCGAUUUGUUCGCAAAGUUCAAUCCUUCUUUGCUGGUUCACGCCGUGACGUGCAAUCUCACAUCUGACUUUUCUCCAUUAUUGUUCAUCAGAGAAGCACAAACGCACCCAACUUCAUUGGCAAAGAGUGUUUAUUCAACCAUACUUAGUACUCAAAUAUACGGCGACAAACUAUGCUUCCACUAGAAACCCACACUAGGUAACAAAUGGUGGUAGUCAGAGACUCGUUGGGCUUCGAGCGUCUUCUCGUACUAUCGAUGGACUUGAAGAGCUCCGAGAAGUUGCGCUUCCCAAACCCUCCGCACCCGCCCUUCUGAUACUAUUUCCUGUGAUCGUCCGUAAGCAUGCACCCCGCUCUUUGUAUGAUCUCUAUGAAUAUGGUGGGCCUACACAGUCAGGCAGCAAGAGAAGCCAGAUGAACAACAUCAGAGAGGAGGACCAGCAGCGUGCACCCCAUUCUUUUUGGAGACCGCAAAUAAUCUCCCAAAAUUUCUUUCAGAACAAAAAUUUUCACAAGUUCAUUACCGUUUUUUCAUUCCGGCUUUGACAGCUCAAGUUAGCAACUUAAAGCUUCCAACCAAAUUCUUUUUAGAGACUGCGAAUAAUCUCCCACUCUUCGGGCGCUGGUCAUCUGAGGUUACGCCUGUUGCUUGAUUUGCAUUAAUGGAAAUCGCUACAACGUUCGAUUUUCUGGAGAAGAUGGAUGCGUCUUCUUGUUGAUCGGUGAGAAACCAAGAAACAUUUUCUCUGAAAAGAGGAGAGAGAGAGAGAGAGAGAGAGAGAGAGAGAGAGAGAGAGAUGGUGGCGAAGCCAUAGCUUGGAAAAUUGAAAAGAUGAGAGAGAGAGAGGGAAAGAGGAAUGGGGGGAGAUAAAGUGCUAGGGUAUACAACCCUUGAAAAAUUGAAAAGAUGAGAGAAAGGGUUUUGAGCGGGGACAAUGCGGGUGCAUUUGUUUGUGUUUCUGUUCAAAAAUUGUUCCUGGGAACAGAAAUAGAAAAAAUUAUUUCUGUUCUGGGAAACAAUUUUUGACUAGAAAAACGUGUUUGGUAAACUUGUUCCGAGAAUAAAAAAAUAACCGAAACGCGUUUGGUAAACUUGUUCCGAGAAUAAAAAAAUAACCGAAACGCGUUUGGUAAAUUUGUGUUCUUUUUUUGUUUCUUUUAAUUUUUUUGAUAUUUUUCCUUUUUUUUCUUUUUUUGGCCGGUCGCCAGCCUCGGCCAUGGCCGGUGAUCGGCUGAUGAGGGCCGGUGGCCUCGCCCAGCCACAGCGAGGCUCGCUGGCCCCCGGCGAGGCCAAGCCUCGCCGUGGUUGGACGUGGCUCGGCCUUGCCUUGGCUAGGCGAGCUCGGGCUCGCCCAUAUCUAGCGAGGUCGAGCUCGCCCAGCCACCGAUUGCCUGGCGGUGGCUCGGCGAGGCUCCUCGCCAGAGGCUAGCGACGCUCUGGCAAGGUUGCCGGCCCUCGACGACUGGUUGCCAGUCAUGGCCAAGGCCGGCGACCGGCCAAAGAAAAAAGAAGAAGAAAAGAAAAAGAAAAGAAAGAAGAGAGAGAAAAUUUGUUUCUCCAAAUUGUUCUACAAAUAAGAAACAAGUUUUUUUUGUUUCUUAUUUAUGUUCUAAAUUUGUUCACGAAAACAAAAAAAUAGAUUUGGAAUAAAAACACAAACAAACGCGUUUCUAUUCUUUUUUUGUUUCCCGGAACAAAAAAAAACAAGAAUUUUGUUCAUGAAUAAAAAAAAAUAAGAACACAAACAAACACUACAUGCAUUUAUUAUUCCUUGUGUUAGUGGCUCGCUAGAGGAGAGAGAAAAGAGCGUCCGAGUCCUUUCAAUUUUAAUUUUUCAAUUCCUACAUAUUCCAGGUCACCGAACAUACGUCGUUUUUUUUAGUGGAGCAUAUAUGUCAAGUCAGUCAUCAACCGAUAACGUGGUAGUUGCUAACCACCGAAUAUUUUCUCCAUUCAUGGGCACCUUUAGGGUGAACAUGAUUUUAUCGCAGAAUCUGGAACCACUUGUAGGUUUCAAGGUAUGCAUGAUAGAUUUUAGGUUAAAAAAAAAUAGAGAACCUGUUUCAAUGGCUAGGUUUCAGGUUCUAAGCAGGUGGAACUUAGAACCUGAAAUAGGUUUUUGCGUUUUUUUUUUUUUUUGGGUCUAUAUCUUUAUGAUUCUACGAUAUUCCAUAGCAUCCGAUGAUGAGUAUAUAAUUUGAGACUACUAGUCCGAGUUUCCAUUUUAUGACUAAGACCUCUACUUUGCUAAUGUUUCAUUUUCUUCGUACGUCUAAAUAUAGGUUGUGGUUAUUAAAGGUAAUGAUUUGUUACAAUCAUUCAAUUAAUAACACAUGUGGAACUUUGGUAAAACCUUGAAUUGACCCGUUCCAAGUUCUAGGGUAUGCGGAUAGGUUCUGGAUUCCAAGUUCCAAAAAAAAAAAAAAAAAACUUGUUCCAACUAAUAUGUUCCAGAUUCUAAAUGGAAUAUUUGUGGAACCUGAAAUCACUCACCCUUAAGCACCUUACAUAAAAAAAAGGAAGUUUCUUGGAGUUCUUUUUUUUUUUUUUUAGGUUAUAUAUUGUUCUUUAAAUAGACCUUGUUAACAAAAGUGCCAUAAAACCACUGGGAUUCGCCCCAGUGGCCACCCUUCCAACAUGGAAGGGAGAGGUGAGGGGUUCAAAUCCCUACCUUCUCAAGAGGGGUGGGAUGGGAACGCGUAAGUUUUAAGAGUGGGUUUCGACUCCCACGCCCUACAAGAGGCAGAGCAAAAGUCUGAGAGUAAGUGUAGAGUAGGAAUAGAGUAGGACUGACAAAAAAAAAAAAAACAAAAGUGCCAUAAAUAUUAGAUAAUGAUUCAUUAUUAUUAUUAUUAUUUUAAUACGUUCAUUGACAUCGUGCCACACGAAAUCAAUAUCGUGGAAAUUCAAUUAUUCAAAUAUAGGAUGCUGACCGAAAUUCUUUCGAUAUUUAUAUAUCUUGGUGGAAACACUCGUGUCUGAAAAUCUCGAGAAGAAUGACAAGGAAAGGAAUAAUUAACAAGUUAAGCUACCCAUCUCACCGUUCGGGUUCCAACGAGACGCGGCUUUAUUGGGCCUUUGUGCUUAUGUUUUGUUUCUAAUUUCAAUUAUAGGAAUUAUUAAAAUUUAAUACACGAAAAAUAUGACAAAUGUGAUUCUCAGUCGAAACUGCUAAGCAAGUAGUGGAUACCUUUAAAUUAGUUAAAAUUAGAAUAGAAUCUUAAUCAACAAUGUUGGAGAUAUGCGAGAAUCGGACCAAAGAUUAUGAUCAAUCAAUCCAAAAUUACAGGAGAUUAUAAUUGAUUAAUUAUGUCAAUCUGUGAUUGGAUUUUGAUUUGAUGUAUCUUCCUUUUAUUUUCCUUAAUUAUACAUUCAUUGUAUCAUAAAUAAGAGCUUAUACGAUGUAAACAAACACAACUCAAUAUACAGAAGUUAUACAGAAGUUACAAGUCAUUCUCUCAUAUCUUGACCUAUUCUUCAAACUCUGACAUGGUAUCAGAGCCGUUUUCUUCAACCUAGCUUCCGCAAAAUUCACAAAUUGCCUCUGCUUCCUUCAGUUUUUGCUAUUGCAAAGCAAAUCAGCGCAAAGUAGGAAUUCAUCUCUAUACAUAUCAUGGCUAAGAAUACCGAAGGAAAUACUUCAAUAGAGGAGACCCUGAAUUCACCUCAAAAUCUGGGUGAGGUUGAUCCAGCUGAAGAUGAACGUUCCACAACUCAAAUCACUUCUGAUCCGGCCCUUGCGCCAAGAAAUGUUUCUGACCCAGUAUAAUGGCCACCAGUCUAGUAGUUCCCGUUUCAGGGCCGUGGGCAGCUGGGCCAACUCAGCCAUGGGCUUCAUAUGACACACUUGGAGAAGGAUUCUCAAAUCUUGGAGCCCAGCCCACUGAAGGAGGACAGACUUCCUUCAACGCCGAAAUGGGCUAGGCGGGUCCAAGUCCACAUCGCAAGGUUAAGGGACAAACCCCUACCCGACCAUGGGGCAUGGCUUUUCGUUCGUAUGUCGUCUCGACGAGCGGUGGCCGGCCGGAGCCUAGUAACCCACUUUACAAGUCGUCGUGCGAUGGCCCGAAUUGCGAUUCAUCUCCUUGUAACUCAUUGGACCCAAAAAUGAUAGUACUUGGGCUCAAGAUCUCCGGCCGGCAUUGGUCAUGAAAGACCAAGACGCUUCCUCAACAAAACCAUGCCUUUUCCAUCCGAUGAGCGCUCAUAGUGGCAUUGGCAUAGAUGUAACUAGCUCUUGCAGACGUGGAUCGGCAAUUGCUUGGCUCUCAAGGUAGUUGUCGGACUUCCACGGACUGAAGAUUCGAACACGAUAUGAAACAAUAUCCACAAGAUGUACAGAAAACUCAACCGGGCCAAAAUCGUCUCCCUCACCCAAGCCAUGUUAGAACUGAAAUAGGAAAAUCAACCCGUCACAACAUGUUUCAAUUGACUCUCGACUUUGUGGAACAAGCUCGAGGCGGCUAAAGAGCAGUUCGAGGGGAGGGGUCGGAGCUAACGCUUCAACAAUAUCGAGAGUGAUACGAGAGAGGAGAAGGCAACCCGUUUUUGUACUAAUCUUGAAUGAAAACUACUCACAUUUUAGGUCCCAAAUCCUUGCGAUGGAGCCGGCAUCGCCGCUCUGGCGGAUAUUUCAAUUGGCGGUCCAAGAGGAGAAUCAAAGGAUACCUGCGUUUGAACACGCACGAACUGGAGAGGGAAUCACCCUUAUUGCCUUCGGAUCUAGACUGUCUCUGACCGGUGGCUUCUCAACCGAGCUUGCUGCCUUCGGUUCUAGACCACCAUUGGCUGACGACCUCCCACCUGGCUUUGGUCCGACGGGUCAGCAUCUCUAUUCCCAUGGAGAGGCAGCCUGAUGAGUUGCUGCCACUGCUGCUUCUGCUACUUCUGCGUCGUCCAAAGAAGGAGAAGGGAGCCCUAGUCCCUUUUGGAUGGACGGCCACAAUUUAAUCCCAAGAUCGGACGGCUAUUAUUUAGCCAUGGCUUCGGCUGAAUCCAUGGGCUGUCAACAAGCUAUGAUAACCACUGGGGGUUCGCCCCAGUGGCCACCCUUCCAACAUGGAAGGGGGAGGUGAGGGGUUCAAAUCCCCACCUUCUCAGGGGGGGAUGGGGGUAGGGACGCAUAAGUUUCGAGAGUGGGUUGCGACUCCCAAGCCCUGCAAGAGGCAGGGCACAAGUCUGCGAGUGAGUGUAGAGUAGGCAUAGAGUAUGACUGACCAAAAAAAAAAACAAGCUAUGAUGGUACCUGUUUUUAAAGGAUCAUAGAUCGAAACCAAUCCUAACUUCCAAUCACGUGGGUCAUACAUUAGGGCCAACAUAAUUAAUGGUCCAAGUGAUAUUACUCCACAUAAUCGAUGAGCCGGAUUUUUAACUUCUUUGUAUAUAUCCAUGUCCAAUCCACAGCCAAUAUUUUAUCACGAAGAAAUUGGAGAAAUUUCGAAUCGCUGGAUUAUAUAGUAACAUUACUAGUACAUUAGUAUCCGUAAAGAAAUUAAAAAGUAGUGGCAACUUUUCGUAAUUUGAGAUAAAUGUUCAGGCUAUAGCCAGAAAAGGAAACUACAAUUGCCAAUACAGGAGUUUCUACAGCAAAGCAAAAUUGUUUGUCAUCUUAUUUCAUGCUUCAGAGGAUUUAAAUGAAUAUCUAUUUACUUUGGACCUGUAAACAUUUUCCCACAAAUUCACUACCUUUUCUUUUAUAUUAUUUUAUGCUUUAAUGAAAUCACCAUGUUAUUUGUCAUUUUCCUCAAUCAUAUGUAUUAUCGACAUUCUUGAAAAGCAUGGUGCUCCAUGAUACCUUGUUUGCAAGUUGGUAUCUAGAACUUUGUUGUCUGCCAUAUCAUUGAAUUCAUCGAAACGGUAAGCAACAAUGCCUUUUGAAUUCUAUAAUCUCGUUGGCAAUAAUCACUUCAUAAGAUACUGAUAUAUAAAUAAUGACGUAAUAAAUGUAUAAGAUAUAGUAAGUGCGUGAAAAAUAAGAAGUCUAAGAUGAAAAUACUGGCAAUAUAUAAUUAAGUCCACCUUGCGUCGUAGUUCCCAAAACUUAAUAAAAUUGCAAAAAAAAAAAAAAAAAAAAGAUUGCUAAGCUAUGCAGUUUAUAAACCCCACGAAGCGUAUCUUAACGUUUCUCUCUUCUCGAUCCAAACCCUAGAGAUACAACGAGGCAAUCAAGAGUGGGGAUACACGUAAGAUGAACGUCGGAGGCGAUGAUUACCGGAUGUCCGCCAAGCCGUUCGCAUCCCGACCAUCGAGCGUGCAGAGUUCUCCAGCGAAGCAAGGCAGCCCGGCUCCUCAUCGGCCGCGGCGCGGGUUUUGCUGCGGGUUUAAUGACUGCAUCAGCAUGGGCUCUACAGUCUCCACUGGCCUUCACCAGCAACAGCAAACAUCUCUUUCUAGAUUGGAGCGGCAGGUAAAUUUGAUGUGGUGUGACUUUUCUGGGACUACUGUCAAUGUUUUGUCAAUGUUUUCUCAAAAGCUGAUGAAAAAAGGUUCGAGCAUUAAUGAAAAAAAGGAGUUAAGAGAUGAUCAAGUUUAUGGUCGAAGCAAAGUAAAAUAUGUUGGAUUAUAAUGUCUCAGUGCUGCUAGUUUUUCGACUGAUGUUCCUCUGUUAUGUUUUCUUCUUAUGGUUUAUUUUUCUUGCUAAGUUGGUUAUAUUAUGCAGCUGGUAUUUUUGUUAUUUAGGAAGUGAAUUAGCACGUUUAGGUGCAGUUAUAUGCUGCACGUGUGUGUGGUUUGUAAGUAGUUAUUGUUCUUGUUUAAGUUGUCCUGUACUCGACAGUUUCCUUAUAUAGAACUGAUGUACGCAAGUUCGUGUUUUGUUUUCUCUGUGCUUCUCUUCCUCAUUUGAAAUCUAUAGCUUCUGAUUUUCUGUCUCUUGUUUACUGUUUGAUCAGUAACAACAAAAUAUAACUCAUUUACUUUUAUUUUUACUGUUUCAAAAUUUAAGAUUACAAGAAUGUUCUAGUGAUAUUUCUGGUGAAAUAACUUGCUCAGUUUGACUUGCGAAUGAAAGGUAGGGGAAUUAGAGAAGGAAGUCCAAAAGGAGAAGGAGCUUCGGAUGAUAUACAGGAAGAGAUUGGAGAGAACCCAGGAUUACCUCCGACACUGCCUUCAGAUAGCCAAAGACAACAGUUUUCUUCAGCUAAUCGUCCACCACAAGAACAACGACGGACACGGCAACAAUGACAACAACAGCAAUGCUAAUGACAACAAUAACAUCGACAGUAACGUGACGACUGACGAGAAGAGGUCAUUCUCUCUCCUCAGCUCUACAAUGGCAACGUUAGUCCUCAGUUCCCAGCUAGAACACUAGUGCAACCUCACUCUGAUAUUUCGAUCGUGGUCAAUCGGGCCAGGAUCAAUGGCUGGUACAUUGAGCCACAUGAGGUGAGUUCUCUCAUUGAACUAUGGUCAAUCAUAAGUUCAGUGGACAUGGUUUUGGUUACAAAGUGAACUGCUAAUCGAAUCAAAUCGCUAUGGUUUGUGUGUAAUCGAAUUUGGAUGUUAUAUUGACCUGUUGUUGCAACCUCGGCCCUAGAUCGAGCUGCGAGAGAAAAUAGCCCGAGGGACCACCGCGGAGAUAUACAAGGUGGGGUGGCGGGGCCUUGACGUGGCGGUCAAGUGCAUCUUCCCUGACUUUUUCCACACAAACCAGAGCGGUGCCGCCUUCUUCGCGCAGGAGGUCGAGACGCUGUCGCGGCAACGACACCGGUUUGUGCUGCAGUUGAUGGGGGCGUGCAUCGACCCGCCCGAGCGCGCGUGUAUAUUCCUGGGCUCGACGCUGAAGGAGUGGCUCCACGGGCCCGGGAACCGGAGGAAGGGUGAGUGGGCGAAGCCGCUGCCUCCGCUCGGGGAGCGGCUGAGCCUGGCCAUGGAGAUAGCCCAAGCGAUGCAGUAUCUGCACGAGCAGAAGCCCAGGGUGAUCCACAGAGACUUGAAGCCCAGCAACAUCUUCUUGGACGAUGCGAUGCAUGCGAGGGUGGCUGAUUUUGGGCACGCCCGGUUCUUGGGAGAUGAAGAGCUGGCAUUAACGGGCGAAACGGUUAAAUUCAAGACAUUUGUUUUCUUGUAAACUGAUUCAUUUCGAUGUCGAUGUAUCGAAUUAGCAAACCUCAUUCAGCAAGUCCGACUCAGUAAAAUAACAUUCUCAGGGACUUACGUGUAUAUGGUGCCAGAAGUGAUACGGUGUGAGCCUUAUGACGAGAAAUGUGACGUGUACAGCUUCGGGAUCAUACUCAAUGAGCUCAUCACGAGCGAAUACCCUUACAUCUAGACCGACUUUGGCCCCGCUCAGGUACUAUGUUUCAUCUCUCAAUGGUCCCUCAAAAUUUUCCCCAAUUCAAAUGCAGCUAUUAUAUAUUAUUGAAAUACUACCGUACAUUCAUCGAUUUUAUAAUUUGUCUCAUGUAAACAGAUUGCAGUGGAAGUAGCAGAAGGCAGGCUCAGGCCUGCGCUUCCGGCGGACGAAGAUGGCCAACUUGAAGAGCUUGUCCAAAUCGUAUGCCUGUCUUGGGAUCAAGACCAUUCAAUUAGACCACCCUUCUCCACAAUUACUCGCAAUUUGAGAGGAAUUAAGCAGGGCGCUUACAGAAAAUGUUCAGAUUUUGGAGAGGAAUUAACACGAAUUGUGAUCCUUGAGGGUGUUAGUCAUAUAAAAAAUUACAUAACAUGGAGCGUUUUUGAGGUAACUCAAAAACGGAUUAAAUAUAUCAAAUAUGAGUCGAUCCAUUUUCGACGCGAUCCAAACCCGACCCAACUCACUCAUUCAACAGGUAUACUCAAAAGGUCAAGCGUUGUUGCCUCGCCUGCCAUUUCCUUGGCAGACCUGUAGCAUUUUUAUUUUAUUUUUUUUGGUAAAAGGUAAGUAUUAAAUUGACUUAAGCCAAAAAGCAGCAAGAAACUAUACAGCAAGAUAUUGGCAUCCAAAACAACUCACGAGAACAAGACUGUCAAGUGAGUAGAAGGGUGGCAAGGAAAAAGCAAGGUAAAAGCAAGGUAAAAGCAAGACCACCUACACAGAGCAGAGGAAAGUCAAAAUGGUGGCAAAAGCAAACAAAGAACCUUCACAGGGAGAAAAAAAUAACGGUAAAAGCAAACAACGAACCUACACAGGGAGAAAAAAAAUAGCGGCAAAAGCAAACAACGAACCUACACAGGGAGAAAAAAAUAGUGGCAAAAGCAAACAAAGGAACAAAAAAGCCUUUGUUUUCUCAUUUUUCCUUUUUUUUUUUUAUUAUCAACUGCUCUGUUUUUAGUAGUCUAUGCAUGGAACAUCAUAUUAAGAACGCGGUGCGAACGGUACGCUCCUCCAGAAGACAAUCUUUAUACGCAAACUACGAGGGUAUUGUUUCACUUCGAUUGCUCUCGUUAGCCAUUCAUGCUCCUCAAGAGUCCUGUUUUGGGUCUUUAGCUUUCUUGCUCUGUUCUUGGGGAAGUGAGCUCAACGGGACGCUGACAGGCUCGCGCUAAUCUUGGUCAAGGUACUCGGUUCUCUUGAAUCUCUUCUUGGAUUUUCAGUUUUUUCUGUACCCAUUUUUGAGCAACCCAUUUUUGAAAAUCUCUUCUUGGAUUUUCAGUUUCGUUUCUUGAUCGAGAGUCUUCUGCUCCGUGAUCUAUCCCUCUUACUUUAUGUGUCCUAAGUUUGUGGUGACUGAUUAGAGGUGAAUUUUUCGGAAAGGGAUAAACUUUUUGUCUGGCUCGAGUACUGGAGUCAGUCCACGACCUCAGUCUUGUUAUGCAUGUUGUGUUGCCCUGUUGCUGUCUGCGUGUGCGCAUUUCAGUAGAAGUAGAACUGCGCUUGAAUUCUCUCUUUUGCUUUACUCGUGCUUUCCAGAGUUUGAACCUCAACUGAAGCCUUGUAAGCGGUAAAGUUUUGAACUUUUGGGACGCGUCCUGAAUCAUGAAUGGAUUCUAAAGGAGAAGGUCUAAAAGGUGGCGAAAUCGCCAUGUCGCAGAAAAGGAAUGUCAGUGGAAAUGAUGUAGUUGUGAACAUCUCGACUGAAGGGGAUGCAAAAGCUGUGACUGAGGGCGGGGGCUUAAAAGGGUCGUCUUCCAAGGAGUUGGAAACUGCCGCUCCGAAACAAACCCCGGUGGAUUCUGCCUGCCAGGCAUCGAGUGAAUCAAGCACCGUUGUUGCAAAAUCAGCGCCAAUGAGCUGCCCGUCUCCCAAUGCUAACGAAUCUCUUGUUAGGAAAAGGAGUCUCAACAGGUCGAUUUUCUCAAAACGGAAGUCGAGGUUUGGGGAGCAACAGUAUCCUCUUGAUGCCACUAUGUUUGAAGAAAAGCCCAAUGCAUUGUUGCAAGAACAAGCCGGUGGGCACUCUCCUUUCAGAGGCUCAUUUAAUCAGGCAUCACCCAAUAACAGAUUGACACGUUCGGCCAGGAAUGUUCCUGUCACUCCGGGACCAGCUGGAGGAGGAGGUGGAGAGGAGGAUGACGAAGAGAUCUACAAACAAGUCACUCUUGAAUUGAGCCAAGCAAAGCAAAAGAGGAUAAAGACCAAGGCUUUGGUCGAAUGCACCCUGUUUUAUCUCAUUCUUGGGUGCUUGGUGGCUAGUUUAACGGUCAAUCAAUUGGAAGAACGUAAGUUAUGGGGUUUACAGAUGUGGAAGUGGUGUGUACUCGUGAUGGUGUUAUUCUCUGGCAUAUUGGUUACCAAUUGGGUGAUGCAUCUCAUAGUUUUCUUGAUUGAGAAAAAAAAUUUACUUCAGAAAAAGGUGCUCUACUUCGUUCAUAGUUUGAAGAAAAGCAUUCAAGUUUUCAGUUGGUUGGCCUUUGUUCUUCUCACGUGGGUACUGUUAUUCAGUCGAGGCGUUAGGAGGUCAAAGAUCGCCAAUAAGGUUUUGGAUUGCAUAACCUGGACUCUUGUCUCUGUCCUUAUCGGUUCAUUCCUAUGGUUCUUAAAGACUUUACUGCUGAAGAUAUUGGCAUCGAGUUUCCAUGUCACUGCAUUCUUUGAUCGAAUUCAAGAGUCGAUCUUCCAUCACUACGUUUUGCAAACCUUAUCUGGGCCUCCUCUUAUAGAGGAGGCUGAGAGGGUGGGGAAAGAUCCUAGUGUCCGCGAGUUUAGUUUCAGAACCAUGAAGAAAGGUAAAUUGGGAAAGGAGAAGAAGGUGAUUGAUAUGGGGAAGAUAUAUAGGAUGAAGCAAGAGAAGGUUUCGGCUUGGACGAUGAAGAUGUUGAUUGACGCAGUGACAAAUUCGGGGCUAUCGACCUUAUCGAAUACAUUGGAUCAAAGUGUUGAUGAUGGAGGAGUUGAGCAAGCGGAUAAGGAGAUAACGAAUGAGAUGGAAGCGAUGGCUGCUGCGUAUCACAUUUUCAGGAACGUCGCUCCGCCAAGUUGCAAGUGAGAAACGAAAGAGUUAAGCCGAUUAACAGAUUGUUUGGUUUGUUUGGUCUUUUGGUAACCAUGUUGUAUUUUCUGCAGGUACUUUGAAGAAGAAGAUCUUGGGAGGUUCAUGAUCAAGGAAGAGGUGGAUCUUAUCUUCCCAUUGCUUGAAGGAGCAGAAACUGGAAAAAUUGACAUAAAAUCUUUGUCAGACUGGGUGGUCAGUGUAUUAAUGUUUAAUUCAUUAUAAUUUUUGUCUGUUGCCCUUUUUCAUGUAAAGAGCAGUUAACAUGCAUCGUCGCUCCGCACUGUCUUCAUUCCAGUGACCUGUAUUUUAAUGUGAAGGGAGUCUUUAACGUGAGAUACAAUUUUUUUACAGGUGAAGGUUUAUCAAGGCCGCAAAGCACUGGUACAUGCUUUGACGGAUACAAAAACAGCAGUAAAGCAAUUGAACAAGCUCAUGACAGGAAUAUUGAUCGUCAUUACCAUCAUCAUAUGGCUUCUUUUGAUGGAAAUUGCUACGACCAAAGUACUAGUCCUGCUUUCAUCACAGCUUGUCAUGGCAGCUUUCAUUUUCGGCAACACUUGCAAGACAAUAUUUGAGGCUAUCAUCUUUGUGUUUGUUAUGCAUCCAUUUGAUGUUGGCGAUCGUUGUGUUAUUGAUGGAGUUCAGGUAACUCUAAAGAGAAACGCUUCCACAACACUUCCACUUUUCUGUUGAGAUGAGUCUGACUAAUAGCAAUUCCUAUUUCUCAUGGCAGUUGUUGGUGGAGGAGAUGAAUAUCUUGAACACUGUCUUCUUGAAGCUUGAUAAUGAAAAAAUCUACUAUCCAAAUUCAGUUUUGUUUACGAAACCUAUAAGCAAUUACAACAGAAGCUCAGACAUGGGCGAUAAGGUGGAGUUCUCAAUUGAUAUUAUGACUCCAUUGGAAACAAUUGGAGCAAUGAAAGAGAAGAUAAAAAAGUAAGUUGAUGGAACUGCUACAGUUUCCUUCAUUUCUUAUUGCAAAUGUUGUGGCCCAUAUAGACUUGUUUGGUACAGGACCAUAUGAAAGAUUAUGGCAACUCUUUCUAAUGACUAGCCUUCUUGAUCAGGUACUUGGAGAAAAAUCAGCUACACUGGCGCCCGAACCACAACUUGCUUGUGAGUGAGAUCAACAACGUGAACAAGAUUAAGAUGGGGCUCUACGUCAAUCACACAAUGAACUUCCAAGAUUAUGCAGAGAAGGGCAGACGGAGGACUGAACUAGUCAUGGAGUUAAAAAAGAUUUUCGAUGACUUGAAGAUUAGAUAUAAUCUCUUUCCUCGAGAGGUCUGUCUUUGCCAGAUUGAGGAUGAGAAAUAGGCGUGAAGGGCAGGUGAUGACUGCAUUUGGCCGUCGAAUAAAUGCUCUGAAAAUAUGCUGAAGUCAGUGGUUUCGUCCGCUUGCUAAAUAAAGGAGGUGACUAGGUCUUUUGAUAAAUUGGGCUACCUCACUCUUCUUUUCAUAUGGCGAUGGAGCAAGGCCUACAGAAGACAGUUGCAUCGCCUCGGGCAUGUCAAGACAAUCAAAAGGCCCAAUUACUGAUGCACGAUAAUUGUGUAUUGCAAAGCAUACCUUAAUCUUGUUCUGUCUUUUGGAUGUUACCUUUUUUAUAUUGUGGCUUGGCGACUCUGUCCCAGUUGUUAUUUGAAACAUGAGGCUAUGAAUGAUGUUUGUGAAUGUAAUCUACCUUACCUUGAGUAUGAGUUAUUUGCUCAGCCAAAUACGUGUGAUCAUACGUAUGUCUCCUGCACAUGAAUGUGUGCUCAAAUGUGCCUUUGUGCGUGCAUGUAUUGGUGAGGUUCCGGCCGAAGACCAGAGGUUUGUCCACGCGGUUGCAUUAGUGCAGGUGCAUGAGUAUGAUAAAAAUCGGUGGUUAUGAUGUUAGGCUGCAUUGUCAAAUGAUCAUAGGAAUUGUGCCGAUCUAUUAGUUUGACUGCAGUGUGGGCAGUGCGUGAUGACUCUUUAAAUCUUUGAAUUUCCAAGCUCUCAUCUGUGCAGAAUCCAAUCAAUCUCAUUUAUGCAAUAUCAAUCGGGAUAAGCUCGUUUCAAACAGGCAGGGGAAGAGGAUGGAGAGAACCCAGGAUUACCUCUGAUACUGCCUCCAGAUAGCCAACGACAACGGCUUUCCCCAGCUAUAAUUGUCUACCACAAGCACGAUUAUGACGAACACGGCAACAAUGACAACAACAGUAAUGCUAGUAAUAACAAUAACAUUAGUAGGCAGAAGUACACCACAAGUGCCAUAACUUGGCACGCCGGGACACUUAAGUGCCAUAACUUCAAAACGGUACACUUAAGUGCCACUUUUUUUUUGGAGUGGGACACUUAAGUGCCACUUCCGGCGACCCUUGCCGGAAAUCCUACGUGGCAAUAUUUUAUUAUUAUUUUUUGCCUACGUGGCUCGCCGGAGCUCCAAAUCAGCAUAAAAAUUAAAAAAAAAUUAAAAAAAAUUAAAAGUUUUAAUUUUAAAAAAUUUUAAAACUUUUUUUAAAAAAAGAAAAUUUUAAAAAUGUUAAUUUUAAAAAAUUAAACAAAUUAAAAAAAAGAAAAUUUUAAAAAUUUUAAUUUUAAAAAUUUUAAAAAUUUAAAAAAAAUUUUAAAAUUUUUUUUUAAAAAAUUAAAAAAAUUAAAAAAAUUUAAGAAAAUAAUAAAAUUUAAAAAAUUUAAAAAAUAAUAAUAAGAAAAUUUAAAAAAAUUAAAAAAUUAAAAAAAGGGGGGGGGGGGGGGGGAGGCGGCGGCGGCGGAGGUGGCGGCGGUGAGGGAGCCGGCGGUGGCGGCAAGGGAGCCGCCCCGUUCGGCCUCCCACUCCCCACUUUUUUAUAAUUUUUUUUAAUUUUAAUUUUUUUAAAAAAUUUUCUUAAUUUUUAAAAAAUUUUAAAAUUUUCUUAAAUUAAAAAAAAAUUAAAAUUUUCUUAAUUUAAAAAAAAUUAAAUUUUCUUAAUUUUUUUAAAUUUUUUUAAAAUUUUCUUAAUUUUUUAAAAAUUUUAAAUUUUUUAAAAUUUUUAAAAUUUUCUUAAUUUUUUUAAUUUUUUUAAUUUUUCUUAUUUUUUAAAAUUUUAAAAAUUUUAACAUUUUUAAAAUUUUUCUUAAUUUUUUUAAUUUUUUAAAUUUUCUUAAUUUUUAAAUUUUUUCUUAAUUUUUAAAAUUUUUCUUAAUUUUUAAAAUUUUUCUUAAUUUUUAAAAUUUUUUUAAAUUUUUCUUAUUUUUUUAAAAUUUUUUGAAUAUUUUAAAUCUAAUUUAAUUAAUUUAUAUACUAUUAUUUACACGUAGACGCGAAACGGCGUCGUUUUUGCAUUUUCUCCGCCACGUCAGCGUGCAAAACGACGCCGUUUGGGACCGAGCUCGCCGGAAAGUCGCCACGUCAGCCAUUUGGCCGGAUUUUCGCCGGAGUGGCACUUAAGUGUCCCAUUUUACUCCGAUGAUGGCACUUAAGUGUACCAUUUUAAAGUUAUGGCACUUAAGUGUCCCGGCGUGCCAAGUUAUGGCACUUCAGGUGUCCCGCACUCAACAUUAGUAAUAAUAAUAAAAACCAACGAGAAGAGGUCCUUCCCUCUUCUCAACUCUACGAUGACAAUGUCAGUCCUGCGUUCCGCUGGAACAUUGGUGCAAUCUUACUCUGAUAUUUCAAUCGUGGUUGAUCAAGCCAAGAUCAAUGGUUGGUACAGCAAGCCACAUGAGGUGAGCUCUCUCAUUGAAUUAGGGUCAAUCGCAAGUUUAGUGAACAUUGCUUUGGUCACAAGCAUACGGGGCAGACAAAAUAGUGAAUUUGCUGAUCGAUUUGAAUCAACUCGUUUGGUGUGUAUUCGCGGUGAGAAAGAUCCCUAAUCAUGUAGCUGAAUUCGGAUGUUAUAUUGAACUGUCGUUAUAACCUCCGCCGCAGGUCGAGCUACGAGAGAAAAUAGCCCGAGGGACCACCGUGGAGAUAUACAGGGCCUUGUGGCGGGGCCUCGACAUGACUGUCAAGGGCAUCUUCCCAAAAUUCUUCCACACGAACCAGAGCGGCACCACGUUCUUCACGCAGGAGCUCGAGGCCCUGCCGCAGCCGCGGCACCGUUUCGUGCUGCAGCUGAUGGGCGCAUGCAUCGACCCGCCCGAGUGCACGUGGAUAGUGACCCGAGUUCCUGGGCUCAACGCUGAAGGAAUGGCUCCACGGGCCUGGGAACCACAAGAUGGGUGAGAGGGCGAAGCCGAUGCCUCCGUUCGGGAAGCGGUUGAGCCUGACGUUGGAGAUAGCCCACGAGCAGAAGCCCAGGGUGAUCCACAUAGAGUUGAUGCCGAGCAACACCUUCUUGGAUGAUGCGAUGAAUGUUGGGACGAUUAUUACACUAUCCUUUUCCUCAAUUACUCACAAUUUGAGAGUAAUUGAGCUGACGCUUACAGAAAAUGUUUAGAUUUUAGAGAGGGAUCAAUGCAAAUUGCAGUUCUCCGAGCGUGGUAGUCAUAUGAAAAAUUGCGUAGUGGAACGUUUUUGAGUUAUGUGCAAGAUGGAUGGAUAGUUUGUUACUUUACGUACUUCCUAGCUUUGUUAACAUUACAAUUUAGACAUCAUUAGUAUGCUUAGCAAAGAAAAGAGGAGGUGAUUUUGAGUAGACACGAGUUUCUUUUAAAGAAAUUAAUUAUUCCGAUUUUGAGCAUUCACGCCUGUUGAAAAUUAUCAAUGAUGUGCUAGUGUUAGGGAUGUCAACAACCGAACUGAAAAUGUUUGGUCUUUUCAGUUCCAUUCUUGUUCAGUUUUUAAGUAAUAGGUAAAGGACCUUGGGUAGUUUGCCGGUUCAAUUCCGUUCGAUUUGGGUUUCAUUUUUCGUAUUUCUUUCAAAGCUGAAGAUCAAAACAUGGAGGGAUUUGUGUCUCAACCAUCAAAUAUAUUCUGAAUUCAAGUCGUUCCAUUCAUGAAAAUUCAGUACGCUCGAUUGGAAAAGAGCUGAUCGAAGCUCAUGGUCACGGGCUUUAUGCUGUGCUCUGUAAUUUAACCGUAUUCCUAUCUUUAACUCUACUCCUAUCUGACAAAAUUGCUGAUACGUACGUUCUGUUUUCAUUUUGGAUAUGAAAGGCUCAAUGAAAAAACCUUAUGUUCAUUCACAAGAUAUUCACGUGAUAUGUUUCAAUCUUUAGUUCAUAAUUUGUUUUACCGAUAGUUCCAAAAAACCAAAAACAAAAAAAAACAAAAACAAAAACAAAAGAAAGGGUUUGCAUCAAACCAGCGAUUUCAUCUUUUUGGCAGGAUUUUGGGCAUGUCUAGUCGAGUGGAAAAAUAUUGUUAAUGAGACAAUUACCUUUAUAAUAUAUGAUAGCAGGCCACAGAAAUGAUGAACUCACGAUUGCUUUACUAAACUUUACCUUGCGAGAAGGGCAAAAGGGAGAAGAAGAGGAAAAUCGAAAAUCUGAACCUAAUUGGGUCAUAUUUGGUUCGGUUCAAUUUUUUAGGAAACUUGAACCGCACCAUUGACAUUCAUAACAAGUUUGUACAAUCAAUUAUAGGAAAAUCGCCAUAAGUCUUAUUGAAGAAAUUUAAUAUGGCACAAAAAUCUUUCAGUCUUUGUAAUUAAGACCUUAAAGUCUAUGAAACAAGCGCAAUCAAGGUCUUCCUUACAAAAGUUUCCUGAUUUUUCCUAGGGCAUCUUAUUUGGGUGCCAUUUGAACUAUUUUCCAACGUGGUGCUAGUAUUCGCCAUAAGGACUUAAUUGACUUCUUUUUCGAAAGGUUGAAGAAUUAAUCUUAACCAUUUAAAAGGCUUAAAUAGCACUAGGAAAGCAAACAUACUACUACAUUCGAUGCACUUUUUCUGUCGAUUAUCUGUCCUCCAAUUCCUUUUUCUCACUGAUGAAGAGAUUUGGCUACCUAAAGAUCCACAGAAUAAGCUACAAGUCAUGGACCGGUAAGCAGUAAUGUUCAGAUCUUUGAACUGUGCAAGAGGAGUUUGCAUGUAAUUGGUGGAAAAUCAAGCAGAUUGCAUCCAUUUUUCUGAUUUUUUUUUUUUGAAAUUAACGUUCUAUAUAACUACGCCAACCAUGAAGAUUCAUACUUUCGUGAGAAAAUGAUAUGCUCAUGUAGAAGUAUUAUGCUAUUCAUUAUUAAUUUUUCCUUAAAAUUGCUUUCGUUUUUUCACUCUUAGCAAUAUGUUUUUUAAUUUGGUUGGAUACUCUUAGCAAUAUUGAAGAUAAGCGAAGUGUCAAUACCAAAUAGAGGAAGGCAUGAUAUCGAGAAGGCUCUACUCAAAUAAAGUGAAGUCAUACUCACCAUGCAAACUAAAGAUCAUGUCAGGCUGCAUUAUCAAAUGAUCAUAGGCAUUGUGCCGAUCCAGUAGUUUGGUUGCAGUGUGCGCAAGGCACGAUGACUCUUUGUAAAUUUGUGAAGGUCCAAGCUCUCAUCUAUGUAAAAUAUUCAGCCAAUCGGGAUAAGCUCGUUUCAAAUACGUUGAGUAUCCCGCCCAAGCUCGAUAAGGGGAAAGAAAAACAUUGAAUAUGCCAAGGAAGAUCCCCAAAAUCCAGAAAGGUACUAACCUCAAUAGUAAUGACAACAAGGCUUCGUAUGACGGGUAUGCAAAUAAAAGAAUCGUGUUUCUUUUUCUCGGUGUAAUUUAGAAGUUCGAAGGUUUCGAACAAUCUUCUUCUCCUUUUAAAAUCCAAGUUUGCUAGCGCAAGCCUCGACAGUGGAUCGCAUAAUCCUUUUGCUCAAUAUGUAAGCGAACUAUCAUUUUGAAAUUGUGACACCAGCAAGGACAAAUGCUACUUUCGGGAGGACUCUUCAUUAUUUUAGAGAACUGAAACAUCUUCCUCCCAUAUGAUGUAAAGUAAUAAUCUCCACCAAAAUUUGAUAUAUUUAUAAUGAGGAUGACAUUACCCUAUUUAUAGGCUUUAGGAGAUGACUAUUGAAGGUGCAUAUCGAUCAAGGAUGUGCAUUAUCAAAUGAGAUAUAUGAGAGAUGUUCAUAAUCAAGUAUAUCUCCUUAUAUCGCUAACAGAAAUGUUGCCCGCCAUUUGGCCAAGUGAAAAAUUGUUCAAAAAAGUGUUAAACCUAUUGUACAAUAGCAACUUUGGUUUUGAACUUUCUAAUUAUGCUAAUUUAAUCCUAAACUCUUUGACGAUUUGUCAAUACCAGUAUUCCAAUCAAUUUUGGCUAGAGAUUGAUGACGUAGACAUCGGGCAUUUUGAGUGCAUUUAGUUCAGCAUUCCAAGGGACUUUUGGCCUCCGAAGUCCCUUGAGAAAAUGUUGGAUCUUUUGGCAAUUAUUUUGAAUUUUUUUUAAGUGAAAGCAAGCAUUAAGAAGGUUGGAAGCCCAAAAUUAGUAGGGAUUAGUAUUGAGUCUUCAACAUUUGGCCAAAUGCAAAAACUUAUUUUUCUCUUCCAAAACUAUCCUCACCAAUUUUUCAAAUUUCCGAAUUUAUCCCUCAUUGUUUUUUAUUUUUUUUAAUUAUUAUUAAAGAAAGACCAAGUCCUUUGUUGAUUCGAGGAAGGGCUUUGAUUGUUGACGAGCCAAAGCCGAGGCCAUCAAAGGUCACACAACCUCAGGCGUGGUGCAUGACCCAAGCGACUGCCGCCUAGGUCUUGCAGCCUCAGGUGCCCCUCCUUGGGUCUUGUGAGGGUGGCAUGUCGCUUGUGUUGUGCAACCCUCGUCAAGGGUUGUUAAAGAUCGGGUGACCUCCGGCGGCCUUCGCUAGGGUUGCACAACCCAUGCUGGAGGUCGCCCGAUGACUAAUGGGCACCAGUGCCAGAUCAGGCUCGCCGGCAGUCGUAGCCAUUUGCCUAAUUGAUAAAGGGUUUGGUCUUUUUUUUUUUAAUAAAUAUAUAUUUUAUUUUAUUUUUCAAUUUUAAACAAAUAAAAAUUUUAAAAAAUAAUGUUAAUCAACUAAAAAAAGUUCAAAUGUAUUUUCUACCAAACUACAUUUUUCUCAAAAUUGCUUAUCAAAGCAUAAUUUAUCAAGUAGUCUUUGCAUUUGCUCAAAGCCAUUUAGGUUAAACUACUUUGCAUUUUUUUAAUGGGCUUUUAAAAUACUUAACCAAAUGUAUUAUUUACAUGGCAUGACCGAUGCUGAUGCAAACAAAUUUUGCAAUAUUUUGAAUUUAUUUACUGGCCCUUAAUAGUUAAAAAAAGAAGAAGAGAAAAUAAAGAAAGUAAAUAAAUAAAUGAUUUAGAAAAUUCUAAAAAAUUGUCAUGUCAAAGCUGACUUUGCUACAUAAGACCGAUGAUAUCCACGUUACUACUCCUAGUCAAAUUAGCCAAAAUAAUUAAAUUGAUAAAUUAAAAUAUUUAAGACUAAAUUGACCGUUGCAUAAUAGGUUAAGAAUUUUUUGGCUAAUUUUCCCUUGGCUGUGGCCGACCACUUAACUUUUGUGCCCAUCUUGAUAGAGAAAAUUCAAAUGGGUAAUUCAAUGGGUCCCCAUCACAAUCACACUUUACACAUAUCUCACUGCAAGUUCAUUCUGAAACAUCCUUCCGAAAGAAUUCAUCGAAAAUGUUAUGUGGAAUAGUAGUUCGUGACGUUACCGUUCAAUCAUUUCAUUGAUGACGUGUCCUCAAGGGUCCCACCAUGGGCAUCUACUAAUUAGGAUGAUACGGUAUGUGAUGCCUUUACCCUGUCGAGGACGAUUAAAUAGAUAAUCUUAUAAAGGAUCUUGUUCUUUUUCUUGUUGGUCUCACCAAUAAUCGCAUGCUCCUUCAUUAGACGGGGACACGACUCAUUGAAAGUUCAUCUGAUUGUGACCCGACAUAAUUUGCCGAGAAGAAAGACCUUUGACUAAACAACCAAAAAAAAAGAAAAGGAAAAAAACGUUUUGGAUUGGCAUUAGAUCGGACGACAACAGCGUCGAUGGCAUAAUUUACUCGAAUUCUAAAAAUCAAGAUGGAAUAAGCAUCUUGAUUAAUCAGAUGUUUUAUUCACGAGUUAAAUACAAGCAAUGCACCAAAUACGAGUAAUUGGGUAUCUUUUUCUUGCGAGCUAUCAUUCGAUUUCAAGUUUGUUAUUGUAGUAGAACUAAGCAUGAUCUAAGAACUUUCAAAUAAAGAUCAAAUUACUCAAUUUUGUUUGUCUUGCAAUAAUUUUUUUUUUGCCGACCCUUAAUAGUCAAAAGAGAGAGAGAAAUGGAAAAGAAAAUAAAAAUAAAGAAAAAGAAAUAACUAAAUUUUAAAAAAAAAAAAUUGGCAUGUCACCGUUAGUUGUGUCAUAUUGGAUAAUUGGUUCUCAUGUUAGCAAUUUCUAGACAAAUUUCCCAAAAGGUUUAUAUUGACAAAUCAUUAAAAAAAAAUUAGGAUUAAAUGGGUGUAGUUAAGAGGUUGAAAAUUGAAUUUGUUAAAAAAAUUUGGAGAAUUUUCCCUUUGGUCAAUCACAUAACUUUUGUGCCCAUCUCAAUAGAGUAAAUUCGUAUGGGUAAUUCAAAGGCACGCUUUGCACAUAUCUCAUUGCACGUUCAUUAUGAAACAUCCUCUUGAAAGAAUUCAUUGAGAAUGCUAUGUGAGACAUUUGUUCAUGAUGUUACGGUUCAAUCAUUUCUAUAGAUUUAUGUGUCCACACGGGUCCCACCAUAUGCAACUAUUAAUUAGGAUGACACAAUCGGUGAUGUCCUUACCUGAUAUGUACUCAUAUGAUACUAUGCCCUAUCAAGGACGAUCAAUGUAUCGCAAAAAGACAAGCUUAUAGAAAAAAGAUCUUUUUUUUUUUUUUCCUUUUUCAUGUUGGACUCUCUAACAAUCACAUGCCCCUUUUUAAGAUAGGGAUAUCACUAGUUGAAUGUUCAUUUGAUUGCAACCCAACAUAAUUUGUUGAGAAGAAAGACAUUUGACUAAAUCCCAACUAUGAACAAAUUGCAUUGGCACUAGACUAGAUGAUAAUGGUGGUUGAUGAUAUAAUUUGAUUGAACUCCAAAAAUCGAGAUCGAAUAAUCAUCCCAAUUAAUCAGACAGUCCAUUAAUGAGUUAAAUAUCGACAAUGUGCCAGCGACACAUAAUCAAAUAUAUUUUUCUUGCGAGCCGUCGUGCUUUCAAGUUUGUUAUCAUAGUAAGAGUGGGCAUGAUUGAUAACUUUCAAAUAACAAUCAAUCUAUUCAACUUGCUUCGUACUUUCCGAAUAUCCGACAAUUUUCUUGGCGAUGGCAUGGCAAAGACGACAUGGAAGGUUUCAGGUUGCAGACAUACCGAACGACCAUAAACAUUAAACCAUCUUUGUACGGACAUGCGGGUCAGAUUGAGAAAGAUGCUGUCAUCGAUCGAAGAACGAAGGACGGACGGAAGGAAAGGAAAGAUGGACAAGAACUCUCACUGCGUGCAUCACGUUCAUGGGCACCUAUAAUGUAAAGAAAGGUGGUUUCUUAUAUUUUAUUUUUCUUUUGUUUGCUUUUUGUAUACUUUUUUAAAUAGACCAUGCUAAUGAAAGUCCCCUAAAUAUUUGAUAAUGAAUGAAUUAAAAUAUUUCCAUACAUUUCGUUUCAUUAAUUGUCGUCGUUUCAUAUAGAAUCAAUAUCUUGGAAAUUUAAUUAUCUAGAAAUAGCACACCGAUCAAGUCUAAAAUAUUUAUAUAUAUUUCUAUUGAUUGAUUAUCAUUGUUUCGCAUAGAAUCAAUAUCUUGAAAAUUCAAUUAUCUAAACAUAGCACAUUGCUCAAGACUCUUUCGAUAUAUAUAUAUAUAUAUUAUAUCCCAAUGGGAAAAACUCAUGUUUGAAAUCUCGAGGAGAACGAUAGGGAAAAGAAAAAUCAGCAAGUUCCAACAAACUUGGCUUCGUUGGGUCUUUGUGCUUACAUUUCGUCUCUAAUUUUAGUUUGUAGGAAUUAUUGAGUUUUGAUAGAUGGAAAAUAUGAUAAAUGUGCUUAUCAUCAAUUGAAACUGCUACGGCGAACUGAGCAAGUCAUGGAUAACCCCUAAAUUAAUUUAAUGAAUUUGGGCUCUGUUCGUUUAACGGAAAAUGACUUCUAGGAAAAUAUUUUUCCGGAUUUUCCAAUGUUCAUUUCACAGAAAAUAAACUAAUAAAGGAAAAUGUUUUCCAUCAUUGGAAAAAAUAACAUUUAAAAAUGAGGAAAAUGUCUUCUACUUUUCAAAAGUGGAAAACAUUUUCCAUAACUUCUUCCACAUUGUUUCUUUUCACUAACACAUUUUCAUUUUAUUUUUAUGCUUUCUUUUUCUUUCUUUUUUCUUUUUUAAAUCGAGUUUUCAAUUUUUUUCCUUUUCUUUUUUUCAUUCUUUCUUUCCAUUUCAUCUUCUUCCUUAGCCUUAGCUUGUUGUUAGCCACGGUGGCGACUGGCGACCAGCCGCGAGCCAGCUAGGGCCUCCCCCUAGGCCGAUGAGGCUCCGCCUAGCUCGAUUUGGCAAAGCCAAGCUCACCCGAGCCUAGUGAGCUUGGGCCUCGCCAGAUCCGGCAAGCGAGCACACUUCAUAUAUCUCUUACCGCAAGUUCACAGUAAAACAUCCUCCCAAAAGAAGUCAUCAAGAAUUUUAUGUGGAUAGUCGCUCAUGGCGUCAACAAUUGAUCAUUUCAUUGAUUAUGAAUCCUCAUGAGUCUCGCCACAUGCGCCUAUUUAUCAUAUUAACAAGGUCUGUGAUCGUCUUGUCAGAAUUGAUGAGACAACUACUAAUUGUUCUUAAAGUUUAACCUAUUAUAUUAAUGUGUGGUUAAUAUUUAAUUAUUUUAUCAACCACCAUGCUUAGUUCGAUCUUUUUGCCCAGCAUUAAGCAUUGUGAGAUUUUGUGAGAUUAUUAUUAAUUAUUUUAAAAAGUUAAGUUAUUAGAUAAAUGUGUGAUUUUAUAUUUAAUUAUUGUAUCACCUCUUACUUUAGUCGUAUGGUGCUACGUACUGUCCAGGAGUAUCAUCGUACUGCAAAAAGACAAGCUUAUAAAAGAUCCUUUUUCCUUGGUCGGAUUCUCUAAUGACCACAUGCUCCUCUAUAAGAUGUGGAUAGGGCUAGUCGAAAGAAGUCCAUGUGAUUGUGACCCCACAAAAUUUGUCGAGAGACAAGACACUAGACUAUGGGGGUGCUGAGUUGACGAUACAAUUUGCUUAAUUUCCAAAUUGAGAUUGAAUAACCGUUCUGAUUAAUCAAACAGCCGUUUACUAAAUAAAGGAAAUAUAAGAAAUGUGAGUAAUCAAGUAUAUUUAUCUUGUAAGUCGUUGAUCAAUUUCAAGCCCGUUCCAAUGGAACUAAGCAUGAACUUUGAACUUACAAAUGACAAUCAAAUCGCUCAUCUUAGUUUAUCCUUUUCGAAUAUCCAACAAUUUCAAGGUUAGACUUAGAAAGAUGUUCUCGUCAGUCAAAGAAGGAGCAAAAGGAAAGAUGAACAAGAACUCUCUCACAGCAUGCAUCACGUUUGUGGGCACCUUUAGGUUCAGCAUGAUUUUAGGGUGGAAUCUAGAACUAGAUCAAUGAAAUCCUGUCCGGUUCUAGGUUUCAAGGUAUGUAUGUUAAGUUUUAGGUUCAAAAAAUUGGAUAAUAUAUUUCAACUUCUAGAUUCCAGGUUCUAGAUAGGUGGAAUUUGGAACUUGAAAUAAGUUUUUUUUUUUCUUCUUGAUCUAUGACUUUGUGAUCCUAUAGUAUUCCAUAUCGUUCGAUGAUGAGUGCAUAAUUUGGAAUCACUAGUCCAAACUUCCAUCUUAUGACUAAACCUUUUACUUGGUUAAUUUUUUCUUUUUCUUCAUGUCUAAAUAUAGGUUGUGGUCAAUUGAUUCUAAUAGCAAGUUGUGAUAAUUAAAGGUAAUGAUUUAUUACAAUCAUUCAAUUAAUAAUACAUAUGAAACUUGAGUAGAACCCCAAACUGACAUGCUCCAAGUUCUAGGAUAUGUAGGGUAGAUUCUAGAUUCCAAAUUCCAAAAAAUAAAAAACACAUUCUAAAGAAUAAGAAACAUAUUCCAACUAGUAGAUUCUAAGUUCCAAAUGAAACAUAUGUAGAACCUUGAACCACUUACCCUAAGCACUUUAUAUAAAGAAAUGUAGUUUCUUAGAUUUUCCUUUUUUUUUUCUUUUUUGUAUAUUGUUCUUUAAAUAGACCGUGUUAACACAAGUCAUAUGAAUGUUUGAUAAUGAAUUAAUUUUAAAAAAGUCAUAAAUUUUAAUACGUUGAUCGACAUCGUACCACACAGAAUCAAUGUAAAAGAAAUUCAAUUAUUCAAAUAUAGCAUGUUGACCGAAACUCUUUCGAUAUUUUUAUACCUUGAUGGAAACACCCAUGUUUGAAAAUCUCGAGAAGAAUGAUAAGGAAACGAAGAAUUAGCAAGUUAAGCUGCCCAUCUCACCGUCCGAGAUCCGACGAGACCUGGCCUUAUUGGGCCUUUUUGCUUAUGUUUUGUUUCUAAUUUCAGUUAUAGGAAUCAUUAAAAUUUAAUACACGAAAAAUAUGACAAAUGUGCUUCUUAGUCAAAACAGCUAAGCAAGUCGUGGGUACCUCUUAAUCAUUAAAAAUUAGAACAAAAUCUUAAUUAACAACGUAGUUACAUAGAGAAGGAAGAGCAUGAGAAUCGGCAUGCAUGGAUUAUCUUUGCUUUUCUUGUGACUGUCAACGAUGUUCUUAGAAAACCGUGCAUGGAUUAUCAUUUUAAAUACGCUCCACGAGUUCCAGCCUCCAGGCACCGCCUAAACAAAAUCUUGAUUAACAAAGUACGAGGAUUUUGUCUCCCUUGGAUUGGAUGGGCUUCUCGGCAUCCAUAAAUGCUCCUCAGAGUCUUUUUGGGUUUUAGCUUUCUUGCUUUGUUCUUGGGGAAGUGAGCUUAACGGCACACUGACAGACCCGCUCUAAUCUUAAUUAAGGUAGACGGCUUUCUUGAUCUCCUUUUCGCUUUUCGCUUUCAACUUUACCCCGUUGUGAGCAUACGGCCAGCCACUUGACCGUUUAGGGUGUGCAUAGCAAUGUUUUUAUUUUCUCAAAAAUAAUUUCUCUUUCUACAUUGGAAAAUAAUUUUUUAGUAAAAUAAGAUGUUUGGUAAUUAUACAAAAUUUAUAUUCUUGAAAUAGAAAAAAAAUAAAAAUACAUUUAAUACAAUUUAUAAAUUUUUAUAUUUAUUUAUUUUUUCUUCUUGCUUACAAAUAGCUGUCUUUCGCCACAUGAUCGCUAACUGUCACCACCGACCGCUGCUCAUAGCCCACCAGCCAUCGGAGGCGGAUGGGCGGCCGCAGGAGGGGGCAACGACGAGUGGGCUAUGGGCGGCGAUCUUACAGCAGUAGUUGGCAGUCCUACAACAGAAGGCAACGGUCAUGCGGCGGUGGGCGCCAAGCAACAAGAAAAUAACGUCAUCACAUUGAGAGAGAGGCAAACCCAUGUCGUUCAAAAGUAGGCACAAUAAGCCCUUGAGAACCGCACAAUGAACGAUCCAUGCGUAGAAUAACACCUGUCGGGAGACUAACAGAUGUGAAAGUAUAUGCAGAGAAUUGUUCACACCUACACAAAAAAGUUGCACACCGAUCUAUGCAUCUUUCUCCAAGUGAAAGAGUAAACUAUGAGGCAACGGUAAAUCUAAAUGAUUCCACAAGAUGGCUGAAGAAAAGAACCCUCUACUUUCAGCCAUUCAGAUUUGUCCCCUUCAGCCCUAGAGGGGCUAACUUAAUGAAGAAAAAGAUCAUAUGAAAGACUAAAGUUCUGGAAAAGACAAGAAGAUUGAAGCAGGAGCGACUAGGCUCGCAUAAAAUUACUGCAGGUGCAUACCUUAAAUCACACAAUAGUAGUUUCAUGCAAACCAUUUUGUAUUAACUAUGAUCAAAUAAGUAGUGAGACUAGCAUCCACGUGCUUUUCUCAUAAUUAACUUUGCAAGUGACAAAACUAAAAUUUUCACAAAAUAAAAGGGAAGCAAGGAUGCAUAAAGAGACUCUUUUGCUGCAGGACUGUUUGAAAGAUUUCCUAAAGCCAUUUCCUCUUAUUAUGCUUGUCAGGUACUUGGAAUUGAUUGUUAUUCAAAUGUUCUUAACCAUGCUUGGUUCUACAAUAACAAAUUCAAAAUUGAUCAACAACUUGCAAGAAAAAUAUAUACACGAUUACUCACAUUUCAUAAAUCGCUUAUAUCUAACAUUGUGAAUAACUAUUUGAUUAAUUGAAACAAAAGGUUGUUCGAUCUCAAUUUGUAAUUCGAACAAAUUAUAUCACCUGCUAUUGUCGUCCAAUCUAAUACGAAUACUUUGCUCCACGUAGGUGUUUAGUUGAAUGCCUUGCUUCUCAACAAAUUGUGUUGGGUCACAAUCAGAUGAACUUCUUUCCACUACUCCUAUCCUUAUCUCAUAAAGGAGCAUUAGAUCAUUGGAGAGUCCAAAAGGAAAAAGAAAAAAGAAAAUCCUUUAUGACCUUGUCUUUUUGCGAUACGUUUGAUCAUCCUUAACUGGGCAUAGUAUCAUACAAGUGAAUAUUAAGCAAGAGCAUUGUGGGUCAUAUCAUCCUAAUUAAUAGGCACCGUCUAAGAAUAGGAAAUCAAUGAAAUGAUCAAACAGUAACAUCAUGAAUGACUGGACUAUUUGAAUUCUUUUAGAAAGAUGUUGUGGAAUAAACUUGUGGUGAGAGAAGCAUAACACAUGACCAAGGUGGGGACCCCUUGGAUUACUCGAUUGAAUACACUCCAACGAGAUUGGCACAAAAGUUAUGUGAUUAGUUAUAAGAAAAUCAUCCAAAAAAUUCUAAACCUAUCAUAUGACAGUCAAUUUUAAUACAAAUUUUAUUUGAACUAAAUUAAAAGAAUAAGCUAUUUAAAAAGAAAAAAAAUGGGUUUCUAACCAACUCUCGUUACUGCACCACCAUCGCCGAGAAGGGGAUUGAUGGCCAGCGGUGGUCAUUGGGAAAUGCGUAAAUCAAAAAUAGAUCGUUCGACAAGCAAUAAUGGUCCGCUUUGAUGCAGAGCCGACAACUCUGCCGGUGAACAAAGGAAGGAGAUGGCGGUAGACGGAGGAGGAAGACUGGAGAAAAGGCAGAAGCCAGUUUUUACUUUUUUAUUUACUUGCCGUGACGUGAUACGUAAUUUUUAUUGGCUUUCAGAGCAGUCAGCCCCAUGACGUACGACGUGGUGAUAUAUAAUCACUUAAUAUUUUAUCGGUCGUAGACACAAACACUAUUGUACGGACCAUACUGCGAUCAGACUUCGAUAGGUGUUCUCGUCGAUCAAGGAAGGAAGAAAAGAAAAGAUGAAAAAGAACUCUCUCUCUCUCUCUCUCUCUCGCUGCGUGCGUCACAUUCAUAGGCACCUUUCACCUUUCAUAAAGGCGACCUCUUUUCCACAAAAAUUAUAUAUGAGUGACUGAAUAGGACGUCAAGCUUUGUCACCUUGCCGCCUGUCCCGUCACAGGAGAAAAUCAGACCAUUUCGGUAGUCCUUUGUUUUUCUUUUUAUCAUCAACGCAAUUCUUAGAAACCCGGGCAUGUACUAUCAUUUUAAAGACGCUUCCCGUGUUGGGGCACUGCCGGAACAAAAUCUUAAUGAACUGAGGACGAGGGUUUUGUCUCCCUUGGAUUGGAUCAGCUCUCAGCAGCCAUUCAUGCUCCUCAACAGUCUCUCUUGGAUUUAGCUUCCUUGCUCUGUUCUUGGGGAAGUGAGCUCAACGGAACAAUGACAAGCCCGUGCUGAUCUUUGUUAAAGCCUAAAGGUACGCGGUUUCCUUGAUCUCUUUUUCGAUUUUCAGUUUUAACUUUAUCCACAGUGACCAUCUCACCAGAUCACUAGACUGCUUCAUUUCUUGAUCGAGAAUCAUCUGCUGCAUCUUUACCUUUCCUUUAUUAUGUGUCCCGAGUUGGUGAUCAUUGACUAGAAGUUGAAUUUGUUGGAAAGGAAUAAACUCUCUCUCUCUGACUCGAGUGCUACAGUCGGUCCACGAGCUGAGUCUAUUAUGCAUGUUGUGUUGGCCUGUUGCUGUCUGUGUGUACGCAUUUCAGUGUAAGUAGAUCUGCGCUUGAAUUCUCUCUUUCGGUUUACUCUUGUGCUGUCCAGAGUUCGAUGUUGAACUGAAGCCUUAUGAGCGGUAUAGUUUUGGACUUUUAGAACGUAUCCCGAAUCAUGAAUGGAUUCUAAAGGAAAACGUCGAAAAGGCGGCGAAAUCACCAUGUCAGAGAAAAGGAAUGUCGAUGGAAAUGAAGUAAUUGUGAACAUCUCGACUGAAGGGGAUGCAAAAGCUGUGACUGAGGGCAGGGGUUCCAAGGAGUUGGAAACUGCGUCUCCGAAACAAACCCGGGUGGAUUCUCCCUGCCAGGCAUUCAGUGAAUUGAGCACUGCUGUCGCAAAAUCAGCGGGAAUGAGCUGCCCAUCUCCCGAAGUAGCCAGUCUCAGCCCUAAGGCUCCCUCUGCUAACGAAUCUUUCGUUAGGAAAAGGAGUCUCAACAGGUCGGUGUUCUCAAAACCGAAGUCGAGGUUUGGGGAGCAACUGUAUUCUUUUGAUGCCACUCCGAAGACACCGCUCAUGGCAUCUCGGGGACCAGCUGGAGGAGGAGGUGGAGAGGAGGAUGAUGAAGAGAUCUACAAACAAGUCACUCUUGAAUUGAGCAAAGCAAAGCAUAAGAGGAUAAAGACCAAGGCUUUGGUCGAAUGGACCGUGUUUUUUGUCAUUCUCGGGUGCCUGGUGGCUAGUUUAACGGUUGAUCAAUUGGAAGCAUCUAGGUUAUGGGGAUUAGAAAUGUGGAAGUGGUGUGUACUUGUGAUGGUGCUAUUCUCUGGCAUGUCGGUUACCCAUUGGGUGAUGCAUUUCAUAGUUUUCUUGAUUGAGAGGAAAUUUUUACUUCGGAAAAAGGUACUCUACUUCGUUCAUGGACUGAAGAAGAGUGUUCAAGUUUUCACUUGGUUGGCCUUUGUUCUUCUCACGUGGGUACUGUUAUUCAAUCAAGGCGUCAGGAGGUCGAAGAUCGCCAAUAAGGUUUUGGAUUGCAUAACCUGGACUCUAGUCUCUAUUCUCAUCGGUUCAUUCCUAUGGUUCUUAAAGACUUUACUGCUGAAGAUAUUAGCAUCGAGUUUCCACGUCACUACAUUCUUUGAUCGAAUUCAAGAAUCGAUCUUCCAUCACUACAUUUUGCAAACCUUAU
rnacentral:lncRNA from 1 species